rnacentral:lncRNA from 1 species
CAAAGGCAUGACCUGGUUUUCUUUCAACUUCUUUUCCCCAGAACUUGAAGCAGUGUCUCUCUCAAACGGUUUCAUAUUCAUAUUCAUUUUCCUAGAGGCAGAAGCUUCAUGCAAUUUCCCAUUGCGAACUGUAGGUGCAUCAGCAGCUUGCAAUUGACUAUCCUUGCCAUCUGACCGCUUUGCAUCGUCUUCAUUUCUUGGAUUGAGCAGAAUUUUACAAGGGCUGGAUUCACGGACCUGAGAAUCGCCAUAUUCUGCUUGAUGUCUUGUUCUUGAAGAGGCACUAGGACACGCAACUGUUGGAACACGUGUGAGAUGCUGCCUUGAAGGAAGAUGAAGUCAAGAUAAUGUCCUGUUUUUGUGUUUUUCAAAUUUGAAUUCAAAUACCAGAUUGUGUGCUAUUUUUUCGUAAUUUCAUUUCAAUAAAUCUCUCAGUGUAGUUGAGAGUUUAAUUUUGAUUAUAAUUCAUGUUUUGUAAGCCUAUAUAUUAGGCAUUUCCAUUUUGAAUAAAAUUAAGCAAAUACAAUUCAUCAAUUCUGCUCAUUAUUGCAAGUCUUCAAUUUCUUCAAAUUUCGCAUUUUCCAGAAUUUAAUCCAAACAGUAACUGUUAUAAACAGUUACUGUUCAGAUCAUCAAAUUUCAACAGUGGUAUCAGAGCUAAAUUCCUACGGGACUGAGGGUGAUUUUACUGAGUGAAACACGAGAGAUUGUGAGUGUAAAACACUUGGGGGGUUGAGAGAAACACUGAGAGUUAACUUCUAAAAAAUCAAUGGCUUCAUCAUCCUCUACACAAUCACACUCUUCGGUUCCAAUUUUUGAUGGUGAGCACUAUCACAUUUGGGCUGUCAAAAUGAGGUUUUUCCUGCGAUCCCAAGGUUUAUGGAACAUUGUGGAGACGGAUGCUGAUCCAUAUCCACUACGUGCAAAUCCAACUUUAGCUCAAAUAAGGGCUCAUGAAGAAGAAAAAUUGAAGAAAGACAAGGCUAUUACAUGUUUGCAUUCUGGAAUUGCAAACCACAUUUUCACCAAGAUUAUGAAUCUUGAGACACCAAAACAGAUUUGGGACAAACUUCAAGUUGAAUUUGAAGGCAGCAAUCGAGUCAAAACAGUCAAACUCCUUGCAUUAAAGAGAGAAUUUGAGCUAAUAAAGAUGAAGGACAAUGAAAAUGUCAAGUCCUAUUCCGGCAGAUUGAUGAAUACUGUCAACCAAAUGAGACUCCUUGGGGAGACAUUUGAAGAUCAUAAGAUAGUGGAGAAGCUUAUGAUGUCAAUUCCAGAAAGAUUUGAGGCUAAAAUCUCUGCAAUAGAAGAGUCUUGUGAUUUGCAAACUCUAUCUAUUGCAGAGUUAAUCAGCAAGCUUCAAAUUCAGGAGCAAAGGGUUCAAAUGAGAGAUGAUGAAGUUGUUGAAGGAGCAUUUCAAGCAAGCUUUAAAGGGAAAAAAUCUGGAAUUUUUCCCAAGAAAAAUUUCAGUAGUGGUAAAUCAAACCUGUCAAAAGGUAAAGCUAUUGUCCCUGCCAGUAGACAUUUUUCUCCUUGUUCUUAUUGUAAGAGAACAAAAAUCACGCAGAGGCUAAUUGCUGUUCAAAGGCCAAAACUCUCAUUCACUGUGAUUUUUGCAAACAAUAGAAAAUGGCCAUGUGAAAAGUUUUGCAGGCUGAAGAAGAAACAGCCGCAGCAAGGAUUUCAGCAGCAAGCAAAUGUAUCUGAAGAAGACAAGGACCCUGAAGAAACUGAGGAGCAGCUAUUCAUGGCCUUGCAGACCAGUACCAUCUCCAAGAAGAACACUUGGCUUAUUGACAGUGGCUGCACCAGCCACAUGACAAAGCAUUUGUCAAUUUUUUCCUCAAUUGAUCGAUCAAUAAAGCCAAAAAUUAAAUUGGGAAAUGGUGACUUUGUGCAAGCUAAAGGAAGAGGCACUGUCACAGUCAGCACUUCAAGAGGUACAAAAACUAUCAAAAAUGUCCUCUUCAUUCCUGAGUUAGAUCAAAAUUUGUUGAGUGUUCCUCAAAUGCUUAGGAAUGGUUAUGAAGUAACCUUUAAGGAUAAUUGCUGCUUCAUUGUUGACACAAAGGAUUCUGCUGUAGCAAAGAUAAAAAUGGAUGGAAAUAGUUUUUAUCUUGAUUUAAAUGUCAUUGAAGGUCAUGCAUUAAGUGCAAAUUCUGAUAUGAGUGUUGUUUGGCACAAGAGGUUUGGGCACUACAAUUUCGAUUCUUUGAAAUUGUUGCAUGACAGAUGCAUGAUAGAGGGGAUGCCUGCCAUUUCUGAAUGUGCACAUUUGUGUGAAGGUUGUGAGUUGGGGAAGCACCAUAGGGUUUCAUUCCCUCGUGCAACACCAAUAGAGCAAAAUCAAGGCUGGAAUUGGUCCAUUCUGACAUUUGUGGACCAAUGAGGACAGCCUCCUUGAACAAUAACUUUUACUUUAUUUUGUUCAUUGAUGACCAUAGCAGAAUGAUUUGGGUCCAGUUUCUGGAAAACAAGUCUCAAGCACUAUCAAAGUUCAAGAGUUUCAAAAGCAUGGUUGAAACACAAAGUGGACAAAGAAUUAAGGUGCUGAGAACCGACAAUGGUGGAGAAUAUACUUCAAGGGAUUUCCAGAAUUUUUGCCUUGAAACUGGAAUUGUGCACCAGUUGACAGUGCCCUAUUCUCCUCAGCAGAAUGGUGUCUCGGAGAGGAAGAAUAGGACAAUCAUGGAAAUGUCAAGGUGCAUGAUGUUUGAGAAGAGGUUGCCUAAGUUUCUAUGGGCAGAGGCAGUAAACACCUCAGUUUACUUGCUAAACAGGCUUCCCACAAAGUCUGUCAAUGGAAAAACACCCAUAGAAGCUUGGUCAGGAAGAAAGCCAACUGCCAACCAUCUAAGGGUGUUUGGUUCUUUGUGUUAUUUUCAUGUGCCCACUGUCAAAAGAGGGAAGCUAGAUGAAACAGCAGUCAAGGGAAUUUUUGUGGGAUAUUCAACUGAAUCCAAAGGUUACAGGAUUUACAACCUGAAUGAGUCCAAAAUUCAGAUCAGUAGAGACGUGCACUUUGAUGAAAUUGCAUGCUGGAAUUGGGACUUGAAGGAGGUGGAUCAGAAGAGCACAAUCCUUGAUGCUGCAGCAGGGGAAACAAGCACUGAAACUGAGUUUGAUGUUGAUGGAACUUCAGAUGCAGAUGUUCUUAAAGUUAGGCCCCUAGCUGAGAUAUAUGAGAGGUGUAACUUGGUGCAUGCCGAGCCAACAAGCUAUGCUGAAGCAGCAAAGGAUGCAGCUUGGAUAGAAGCCAUGAAAUCAGAAAUUGAUUCCAUUGAAAGGAAUCAAACCUGGAGCUUGACAGUGCUGCCUCACAACAAGAAAGAAAUUGGUGUUAAGUGGGUAUUCAGGACUAAAUUCAAUCCUGAUGGUUCUGUAUUUAAACACAAAGCUAGAUUGGUGGUCAAAGGAUUUGCACAAGUGGCUGGGGUUGAUUAUGGGGACACAUUUGCCCCAGUUGCUAGGCAUGAUACAAUUCGGCUCCUUCUUGCAAUUGCUGGUCAACUUGGAUGGAAGGUAUACCAUUUAGAUGUUAAAUCAGCUUUUUUAAAUGGUAUAUUAGUUGAAGACAUAUAUGUGCAGCAACCCGAAGGAUUCAAAGUGGCAGGCCAUGAGCAUAAGGUGUAUAAGCUACACAAAGCUCUUUAUGGCUUGAAACAAGCCCCAAGGGCUUGGUAUAGUAGGAUUGAUUCCUAUUUAAUCCAAUUGGGGUUUAGAAGGAGUGAAAAUGAAGCUACAUUGUACUUAAAGAAAGAAGGAGAUGAAGUGCAGUUAGUAAUUUCACUUUAUGUAGAUGACAUGUUGGUGACUGGAAGCAAUACUUCAUUGCUGGCAAAGUUCAAAAAGGAAAUGGAGGAUGUAUUUGAAAUGAGUGACUUGGGGAUGAUGAAUUAUUUUCUUGGAAUGGAGAUACAACAAGACAACUUAGGGAUUUUUUUGUCACAAAAGAAGUAUGCUAUUGAUGUGCUUAAAAGGUUCAAACUGGAAUCAUGCAAAGAAGUAGCUACACCUUUGGCACAAAAUGAAAGAAUUUCGAAGAAUGAUGGUGAGAAGCUAGAAGAUCCUUCUGUUUUUAGAAGCUUGGUGGGCAGUUUGCUAUACUUGACAGCAACUAGACCAGACUUGAUGUUCCCUGCUGGUUUGCUGUCAAGAUUCAUGAGUUCACCUAGUAGUGUUCACAUGGGAGUGGCUAAAAGAGUACUGAAAUACAUCAAAGGCACAGCUGACUUAGGCCUAAGGUACUCAAAAACAGGAGGAGUAUGCUUGAUUGGCUAUGCAGAUAGUGAUUGGGCUGGAAGUGUUGAUGAUAUGAAGAGUACUUCUGGUUAUGUUUUUAGCAUUGGUUCAGGUGCAAUUUGCUGGAAUGCAAGGAAGCAAGAUGUGGUUGCUCAAUCGACAGCAGAGGCUGAGUACAUCUCCAUGGCAGCUGCUGCAAAUCAGGCUAUAUGGUUGAGCAAAGUUUUGGCAGAUUUGGGUCAUAAGCAAAGCUCACCAACCGAGCUUUAUUGUGACAACAAGUCAGCAAUAGCAAUUGCACAAAAUCCAGUCCAGCAUGGGAGAACAAAGCACAUUAAUGUCAAGUUUCAUGCAUUGAGGGAAGCUGAGAAGAAUUUGUUCAUCAAAAUUCUUCACUGUCCAAUUGAAGUCCAAUUGGCAGAUUUAAUGACUAAAGGACUUCCAAGAUCAAGGCUGGAGAUGCUUAGGAUGAAGCUAGGAAUGUUCAAGGCAAGUCUCAAGGAGGAGUGUUGGAACACGUGUGAGAUGCUGCCUUGAAGGAAGAUGAAGUCAAGAUAAUGUCCUGUUUUUGUGUUUUUCAAAUUUGAAUUCAAAUACCAGAUUGUGUGCUAUUUUUUCGUAAUUUCAUUUCAAUGAAUCUCUCAGUGUAGUUGAGAGUUUAAUUUUGAUUAUAAUUCAUGUUUUGUAAGCCUAUAUAUUAGGCAUUUUCAUUUUGAAUAAAAUUAAGCAAAUACAAUUCAUUAAUUCUGCUCAUUAUUGCAAGUCUUCAAUUUCUUCAAAUUUCGCAUUUUCCAGAAUUUAAUCCAAACAGUAACUGUUAUAAACAGUUACUGUUCAGAUCAUCAAAUUUCAACAGCAACAGCCCAGUGAUUUGACUGGAAACAUCUUAUGCACACACAGGGAAAUUCUUUUGCUCCGUUAAAUGAAUUAGCGUUUCUUAGAAUAUCUACAAGCUCACUAUCUAUUAUCUCUGGACAAUCUCGCACAUGUCAGGUUUCCAUGAGAAGAAUCAUCUGUCCCGUAUGAUGGCAUGAUGUGCUUGAGGGCAUCCAAUCUCCUUGCAAAGACAGAAGCCAUCGCCCCUGAAUUUCUGAAUCUUGAAAAAGGCAAGGUAGAGUUCAUUUUACACAUGGACUUCUCAUCAUGGUGUCCAUUUACUUUAUUUAUGCUAAAUGAAACUUCAGUAUACCGGGUACUCAGUGAAGUGCUCCUCCUCCCUAGCCCCCACAAUUUUUUUUUUUAUCUCGGUAAGAAGAAGGAUGAUUCUGCCACGGAGCCUUCAGCCUUAUGAAAUCGGUAUAAGGCCAUCAAGAGCUUCGCCAGUUCUUCUGUGGCAAAGAUCGCGGUUUGACAAUGGACCAGAAGUUUUUGGAGAAAGCCGAGUUAUCCACAAGCUUGUGAGUGGGUCCCUUUUGUACCCGGAAGUAUUUGUGGCCUUGCCUUCAGAUGGCUGUUCAGCAUCGCUCCUCUUACGUUUACCCGGAGAGGAAUUGGAGCUUGUCCCAUCUUUCUCCUUAUCAGUUGCCAUGUUGCAUGAAUUUUUUUUCUCUGCAGAGUUACUCCCGCUGAUCUCCUGACCAGAAGCAAUAUUGGUGGAUAAAAGUUUGGUCAAGGCUUGUGGAGCUGCACCAUUUCCAGUUGUCGACUCAUUUAACUUCUCAUUUGGUUGAAGAAACCGUUUGUACACAUUGUCAGUCACCAUACGACAGGUUAUUGGAGUACCAGUAGAGUCACAGAUCUUGUUGUAUCGUCUCGAGCAUAAAAAAUGAGAGUGGCAUUCCUACAAGCGACUUCAACUUUCCAAUUUUCUUUCAUGCACCAGUUCUUUUUUGAACAGCCUGAAUGAAUCUAUUCAUGUGGACACGUAUUUCUAACGCUAAACGGCAAUGAUUCUGUUGUGUUUUCAGUUCAUAAUUAUCUGUUAUUAUAUCACGACCACUCUAUUAGAGAAUAAUAUAAAUCAUAUUGAGUUGAGAUGGUUUUUUAACAUGAUAUCAGAGUCUUGAUGACCAAACGAUCACGAGUUCGAAUCUCAAUAUCCCUAUUUAUUUGAUAAAAAUUAAGCACAAAUCAAUGUGGGUCUGUGCAAGUUUAAAGCCCAAAGAGCUUUCACUUUAGGGGGUGUGUUAGAGAAUAAUAUAAAUCAUAUCCUGGGACCUCACCUAAAAGCUUAAGCUAUUGGGUUGAGAUGGUUCUUUGACCCACUGCAGCCAUGAUCAUCCCUGUUGAUAAAUCAUUUUCUGUCAGGAGAUACAUAUAUAUCUGGCGGAUGUUUUCCUCUCUUUAGCAACUAUAUAUAGCGAGUGAUUUGAGCAUUAUAAUGCACGGUGAUUGCUCAUAAUUUUCAUGUGCUUGCGCAUGUUUUUGAUGUAUUUCCAACAGUACUAUAUUAACAAAUUACCUGACAAAAAAAAAAAGAAAAAAGAAGAAGAACAAGUUCUUUAGAUCUUUCCGUUUGUGUAUUGGCAUUCAAGCGACAGUUUCUUGAGCCUUUGUCUUGGGACAAUACAAUGACUGAAAAAGCGAAUGAAAUCCCAUAGUUUUGCACCCUUGAUCUUGAUUUCUGUUACGUGAAAUGAGAUUCUUAUCACGAUCCUCAUGUCCAUGCUUAUGAUUUGCAAGGGUAAGAGCAAGAGAAGGUGCCUCAUCUUCAUUUGAUUUUAAGAACCCCUUCAUCAUGACUAUAUUGCUCUCUCUCUCUUUUUCCAUGCUUGAAGGUGAUCCUUUCUGCUUGCUACGGCCUGUUUGGUGUGGUUUGUUACCCACUUACACCAUCCUUUCUUAUUGGCGUUAGAUAAGUCUCAUUUUGAAUCCCAUAUCCCAUAGGGGAGGGAGGGUUUCACACUUGAUACGAUAAUCUAAUCAUCUAUUUACAUAAAGAAAAGUUCCGGGAAGAAAUCCACGCUCCGGACAAGCACACGGGUACUAAUAGAAGCCCUAAUAACGUGGAACCACAUGAUGAAAGGAGGAAGGUUAUGGAAGCCAUGCUGCAACCAACAUACCUUCUGGCUGGCUUGCUUGAUUUUAGAUGACUGUUUCGAUGUUUAGAAUAAAGGUUUCGAUGAAUAGAAUAAUGGUUUUGAGCUCCGAUUGAACAGCGGGCCUGGAAGGAUCCAUGACGAUGUCUUUCCAAAAAGAGCCCGGCUCGAAAAUGGGGCUUGGGUCUGUGUAAAGCUCGUAGAUGGAUUCUGCCUCAGCCCUCAAAUUGCUUGCAUUUGUCAAGCAUUUGUACCCAUCUUUCCAUGCUAUCAGCUGCAUUCAUUUUGUGCAAAUCAAAAAGUCAGUGUAUAAGAAAAAUGCAGUCCCUACUUGUCUUUUGAAUCGAUACCAGUACGGAAAUCUACAGGCAAGAACUAAGAUAACUGCUGCUAGUUCUGAGCUACGAGGUAUGGAAGGUGGGGCUAAUUUCCGUACAUAAUGCAGCGUGUUCGAGGUCCAUAUCUUGUCGAGGCCUCGAGAUACAGAAUAGUGCAUCCAGUGGACCACAAUCUAGGAUUCCAGGCUCAAACUUACCAGUUUUCUUAGAGCUGACAGAUGGGUGAUGGGUCUAAUUUAUAUCAAUACCUUUCGACACUUGGCAUGUCAAUCGAUAGAUAGUGACUCAAAUAGCAAGGUGGCCGGACUAAAAACAAGGGUGGUUGGCAGACUCUCUUCCCUAAUCGAUGUUGUGUUGUGUUUUAGAGGUUGUCCAUUGGAUUUGAGGCCCUGUGCAUUUGUCACUACGCGAAAGAAGAGAAGAAGCACGGGAUGCAUGGCGGAUAAACCUGAUGGAAGAGACGUACUUACACGAGGCGGUGCUCCGACUGAAUUGGUGCAAUAAAGCCUGGCUUUAUCAACAAGUUGGCAUAUCUUUCAAAUGCGCUGGCAAAUCUCUUGUGGGACUUUAACCGGGAAUGCACCCUCACCGCCCCUCUUGUCGUUAUGGCUCUCCUGUUCAAAAUCCCAGAAAAACAUGCCCUCUUUCAUUAAUACCAUGUACCGUACGAGAAUGAUUUUGAUUACUACACAGCCAGUUCUAUCAUGUUUCGAUUGUUACCUGAUGCCUCUAACAACAGCUAGAUAAGGGUCACAGACAACUCCAAACUCUAUUCUGUAUGGUUUCCUGCCAGUUUUCUCCUUCUUGUUGUUUAAUCGCUGGCCCCUACCUUUUCCCAGUAAUUUUGAUCAACGGUCCAUCCUCAGCAACCCCGGCCCUCCCAUUCGUAACGAAUCUGUAUACGAGCCAUGGCAAUUGUUUGCUCCACGAAAGGCUCCAUGAAAGGGUGCCAUCAUGAUACAUCCCGUCCUUCAUUCAGUGCAGUUACCAGGAGUGAUGAUGCAGCAUCGGUUGUGAUUGGUAGAUGACAUCCGACUCUUUGAAUGCUUCAGCCUCUCGGCCCUCUACAACAACCGCCUUUGCCUUUGCUCCUGACCAGAACGGUCUGCCCAUUAUUAUUGAUCAGUGUCCCAUCAAUCACAAUCACAGGCAUGCACUUCUCCACAGCAAAAUUCAAUUAUUUAAUACGCGACAUAGAAAAAUCAUGAAAGUUAUUUUUAAUGUUUACGAGGUAAAAUUUGAUAAAUCCAUACUCUUUGAGAAUGUCUUUGGUGACAGUGCUCUUGCCAGCCCCCAUACCACCACCCAUAAGUAGCAGCACCGGACUUCUCUCACUGAAGUGCCCCCGGCACCAUGUCCUCCGUACAAGGUGAUUCCCCCCGGCCGAUUGCUUUCAUUUCCUCAACUAGAGUAGAAAAUGCCCUUGUAACCUUCAAGUCCUCGGUCACCCUCUCAAAUCUUUGUUUUCUGCCAAAAGCGAUAAAAAUUAAAACCAUGACGAUAAUAUAAAGUAUCCAUUCGAUUCCUAAAACCAUAAAGUUUGGUGUGGUAUAAAUGAAAAACCACGGCACCUCUGGCCCUUCAUAAAAGAGAAAGAAGAUGAGGCCAAGUGGAAGUGGUGAUUGAAAAAUAAAAAAAUGAGGCCAAGUAAUAUAAUAUUACAAGUCAUUGUCAUCAAACCCUUUGGGCUUCGGUUUCCUCACGGAUUCAACAUCCAUAACCUGCCAUCCAUACAGAAAAUUAGAGUAAAGAGCAUAAGACAACAAAACACAAAAAACAGAAAAUAAAAGGUACUGUUCCUUUUCUUUUUAUUGUUUGGUUCUGAAAUUGAUGAUAAACCUGACUGAUAAACAGAGAUGCUCUGCUCCAAUGGAAAUGCGAAAUACGUGAGGAUGCAUUUUUCAAAUUCCCCCAUCAGCUUCACGUACAGAGAAGAUUGUAACUCAGGUAGAUUAGCAAAAAAUCAUCAUAGAUGUUAUUUCUCACACCCUUCAGAUCUUUUCAGAUAAUCAUAAGCCAAUUUUGCAUAGCCGUGGACACUCAUCUGCAUCUGCAAAUCCCAUCUGCCUAGCUACAAAGACAGUAAAAUGAAAAAAUGGGUAAAAUUUCUUCUUUCUUGACUCUGAGAAAAAAACAUUAUUGUCAAGAAAAAGUAAUACAACUUGAACAGUUUAUAGUUACUUAAAUUAAUUUACCAACAUAAUCGGGGAAUCUUUCAAAUCCAAACGGCCAGAUUCUGUCCUGACGAAGCCUGGAAUGAUGUGCUGGUCUCUUUUAGCGUUUGAUUUUCUCCAAUAGCCGUGAGUCCAAGCAGCAGCGGCACCGAUGAAACCCACCAAGGAAGCGGCAAGAACUCCUGUCAAUUUGGCAUGGCUUAUUUUCUUACUAGAAAACGAUCAGACAGAGAGAUUACGCAGAGAAAGAAAAAAGAAGGCUUACUUGACUGCAUCUUGUUGAAGCUUAGAGGAGGCUUCACUGCAGAUUAGAAAUAGUUUGCCGGGCUUUAGAUGAUUUUACCGAUCACAGAUGCAUGUCACUUGUGGGUCUUUGUAAGUAAAGGAUGAUGGAUAAAUUUUUAUAUGCUUAUUGAUUCCCACAUGACAAACAAAAAAGAACAUAUCUUUGAUUUGAUGCACAUCCUUUCACGUUUUGUUAAUUAAAACAAAAGCUAAAGUAUAUUGCAAUUUUUUUUCCUAAGAAUUCUUGGCUCCUAAGAAUAGGAUGGUGUUUUUUUUUUUAAAAAAAAAAAGUUAAAAGCUGACAUGGGGGCAUGUUAGGCUCUUUCGGACAAUGCACGCGAUUGCAUACCGUUGAAAAAAAUUUGAUUCUAUCAUAUCAUUAAAUUUAUCUUUUACUCAUUUUUAUCUAUGUGAGACGCGUGUGCUCGUCAGAUUUAUAAUAAGUUGCAAUAUCUUUUAAUUUUUCUUCUCUUUUUUUUCUAGAAAAUUGUGCCUAGCCCCUCAUAUUUUAUAUUAGUCAUUCAAGUUCAUUUUCUUUUGAUUUUUUUCUUGAUUUUUUAAUAUUUACUUGUUUUAUUGAUUCAUUUCUCAAAAAAAAAUUUUUACAAUUGCAUCCUCCUUUAAUUUUUUUGUUAUUAUAUUUGGUCUUUAUUCUUUUGAUUUUGUUUUUUUUUUUUUACUUUUAUUUUGUUGAUCUAUUUGUUGUUGGUGUUUCAAAAUCCGCCCUUUUAAUUUUGAUUUUUAAUUUUAGUCAUUUUCUUUUUUGUGGAGUUUUAUUUGUUUUCAAUUUAAUUAUUUAAUUCUAAUUUGUAUAUAUAAUAUUUUUCGAUUUGGUCCUUUUGCUUUUAAUUUUUUUUCCUUGGCUCUUUUGUCAAGAUAUUUAUAGCUUUUUAUUUUAUCCUUCAAAUCAAGAUUAUGAUUUUUUUUUCAAUAAUAAUAAUAAUUUCAAUUUGAUCUUUCUUCUUUUGAUUUCUUAUUUGUUUCCUUUAUCCUAAAAUUUUUAUGAUUUUUGUUAUAAUAGUAAUAAUAGCAAUGGUGGUAGUAGUAAUAGUAAUAGUAGUGGUAGUAAUAAUACUAAUAGUGAUAAUUACAAUGAUUGUAAUAAAAAUAAUGUUAGUAAUAAUGAUAAUGAUACUAAUAAUAUUAAUAGUGAUAAUAAUGUUAAUAAUAGUAGUUUAUUAUGAUAAUAAUAAUGGUGAUGAUGAUAAUAAUUGUGAUAGUACAACGACGACGAUAACUAAAAUAAUAAUGUAUUAAUAGUAAUAAUGAAACCAAUAAUAAUAUUGAUAAUAAUUGUAGUAAUAAUAGUAGUUUUUUAUGAUAAUAAUAGUGGCAAUGAGAGUAAUAUUGUUUUAAUAAUAAUAAUAAUUGUGAUAAUAACAGUAUUAAUAUUACUAAUAGUAAUUGUAAUGGUACUAGUAAUAGCAGAAUGAAUAACAGUAAGAAAUGAUAACAUUAGUAGGAUAUUAUUAACAAUAAUGAUAAUAACAUCACAACUUCUAAUAAUAAUAAUAAUAGCAGUAAUAGCACUACUACUAAUAAUAAUAGUUUAUUAUGAUGAUUAUGGUGGUUAUGAUAUCAAUAAUUAUUGUAAUUAAAGUAAUAAUAGUAACAAUUGUAAUAAUAAUAUCAAUAACUCAAAAUAAUGUUAUCAGUGAUAAUUUUAAUAAUAAUACUAAUAAUAAAUAACAACAACAAUAACAACAACAACAACAAUAAUGCUAAUAAUAGUAGUAAUAGUAGUAGUAGUAACAAUAAUAAUAACUGUCGCACGUGUGCGGCGGCGCGGCGAUCGUCCACCCUCAAGGAAAAAUCGGAAUAUUUAUUCCUUGAAAAUAGGGAGAGACAAGGAAUUCUUGUCUCUACAAGUGAAAAUAUGGACUGGGAGUCGCCACCUAGUAUUCGGGUUACUAGGAACCUUAACUGGUCUUUAGAGAUCGGGUACGGAGACUGGUUGCGUAAAGGGAAGGUAUUAGCACCCCAACUACGCCCUACCUAAGGUAGGCUGCAUUGUUUUAAUGUCUGAUAAAAUCUAAGGUCGUGUUUGUGGUUUUUUUUUUGUUCGGAAUACGCAUUACAUGUAAUGUCAUACCCCAGGUCUUAUUGUAAAAAAAUGAAACAUCCGGAAUUUAAAUAUCUGGAAUAUGUAUUACGUAUAUAAUCCCGGAUAUUAGAAAAAAAAAAUAAAUAAAAUUUUAUUGUUUUUGAAAUUUUGGCCAAUGUUCUCUUGACUUUAAUAAACUGGUUAUUAAAGCCAAAAUGCAUGCUAAAAUAUUGUUUUUUUGACAUAUGAAAAAUACGAUAUGAUUUUGUAGAUUUGAGACACUUGGCCGUAUGCACAAAAACAUUUUUUCUCUUUUUUCAAUUUUUUUUAUUUUUGGAAGUUUUGCCGAAAACCAGGUAUUUUAAUAUCAGAUUUUUGUAUUUUUAACAACAUAAAAAAAAUACCACCAAAUAUUAAUCAAAAUGACAUAAAAAUUACACGGAAAAAUUAUAAAAUGCUGAAACAAAUAUUUUUGAUUUUUUUCUUUGAAAUGGGCCGGAUUAGGCCCAAAUAUAUGGGCUGGGCCGAACCUGGCCCAAAGCAUGGGCUGGUUACUGUGCACAUGCACAGUAACCAUGAAUUAAUUAGCGAGUUACUGUGCACAUCACAGUAACUCGCUAAUUAAUCUGCAUGCAGAACAAAAAAAAACGACGGGAAAGGCUACCUGCGGUGGUGAUGUUGGACUCUCUUCUCUGCUUCUUCUUCUUCUGCUUUCUUCUCUCUGUCUCUCCCUUCUCUUCUCUUCUCCUCUCUUUUUUUUUUUUUCGAUCCUCCCCUGUUUUUAUAGGCAAAAACAGGGGAGACGUCAUGGUGGUGGCCGCCGCCCCCUCCACUAUCGAUGGAUAAAAAGGAGGGCAAGUGGGUGAUUGCGGGCGUCUUAUUGCGCCAAAUCCGGGUGAAAGAAGUUAGGCAAAAGGAGAAGAAAAAAUCUUCUUCUUCCCCUGCCUCGCGCGUCCAGGGGAAGAAGAAGAGCUACAGUGCCGUCAAAACGGCACCGUUUUGGGCUUCUGUUUUUUUUUUUUUUUUUGCAACAGUGAAUGAAACGGCGUCGUUUCAUUUAAAUGGAUUUGGCGCCAAAACACGUCAGAUUCAAAUUUCGGCCCUCCAUUUGCGCGCGUUUUACAAUUAGUCCUUGGUCUCGGAUUUCUUCAAUUCAGUCCCUAAUUGGCCAUUAAACCUCAAUAUUUAUGCAAUUAAGCCCCUGAUUUGACCAAAUUAACUUCUAAAAAUUAUAAUUUGACCCCAGAAAAUUAAUUUCUCUAAUUAAAGCCCAAAUUAACUCCAAAAUCAAUUUUUCUUGCAAUUAAAAUCUUCAUAAAUGCAAUUAAACCUUCAAUAAAUUUAAUUGAGUCCAUAAACUUCUGAUUUUGCAUUUUUCUUUCCACAAAUUGAAUUUUCUUUAUCAUCGGGCUCUCAUCAGUCAAUGAUAUACUGUCAAAAAUAAUUUUUAUAUUUUUGAAAAUCCUUAAACAAUUUUUUGAGCAUUUUUAGGCGCUUGGCAUUUUUUCACUGUUUAUUUUUUGAUAAUAUAUUUUUUUAAUUUUUUGUAUUUUAUUAUUUUUUAUGUAGGGACCCAGAAAUGGGUUACAACAGUUGCCCCCCUCUUUACAAUGCUUACGGAGCAAAGAUUUGUGCAUAGUAAGUGUUGUAAAGAUAAAAUAAAAUUGGUCUUUCGAAACUGGUCGUCUCAAAAUUUGAUUGACCUAAAACUUCAACCAAACCCAAAGUCCUGUGUGUGGUUGGGCUAAAUUGAGAUUCCUUUCGCCAAAUCCCCUCUAACCAGAACCAAAAUCCUAUGUGUGGUUGGGAUAGACUGAGAUUCCUGUCGGCAAUCCCCUCUAACCAGAACCAAAAUCCUAUGUGUUCAAACCCUUUGUUUUUUUGGAAGAAAGAUGGUAUAUUUUCACGGGCGAGCUGCCCACACAUACUUAAGGUGGUCUAUUUUCAGGGGCGACCAGCCCACACACUCACGCUGACUUUGGUCUAUUUUCAUGGGCGACCUGCCCAAACAUAAAAGUAAAGAGUGGUCUCAUUGUAAUGGGUGACCUACCCAGAUAAAAAAAAUGUGAAGAAUUGGAUGGCGAGGGUUUAAAGGCACACUCGAAAAGAGGUAGGGUUAGAAAAACGCAUUACCAAAGGAGUUGAGGGCUCAAAGGCGCACUCCAAAGGAGGUGAGGGCUCAAAGGUGCACUCAAAAAGAGGUGAGGGCUCAAAGGCGCACUCAAGAUGGAGUUGAGGGCUCAAAGGCGCACUAAAUGGAGGUGAGGGCUCAAAGGCGCACUCUAAAUGGAGUUGAGGGCUCAAAGGCGCACUCAAAAUGGAGGUGAGGGCUCAAAGGCGCACUCAAAAGGAGGUAGGGUUAGAAAACGCACUACCAAAGGAUGAGGGCUCAAAGGCGCAAAUGGAGGUGAGGGCUCAAAGGCGCACUCAAAAGGAGGUAGGGUUAGAAAACGCACUACCAAAGGGAUGAGGGCUCAAAGGCGCGCUCAAAAUGGAGGUGAGGGCUCAAAGGCGCACUCAAAAGGAGGUAGGGUUAGAAAACACACUACCAAAGGGAUGAGGGCUCAAAGGCGCGCUCAAAAUGGAGGUGAGGGCUCAAAGGCGCACUCAAAAGGAGGUAGGGUUAGAAAACGCACUACAAAGGGAUGAGGGCUCAAAGGCGCGCUCAAAAAUGGAGGUGAGGGCUCAAAGGCGCACUCAAAAGGAGGUGAGGGCUCAAAGCGCACUCAAAGGAUUGAGGGCUCAAAAGGCGCACUCAAAAUGGAGGUGAGGGCUCAAAGGCGCACUCAAAAGGAGGUAGGGUUAGAAAACGCACUACCAAAGGGAUGAGGGCUCAAAGGCGCGCUCAAAAUGGAGGUGAGGCUCAAAGGCGCACUCAAAAGGAGGUGAGGGCUCAAAGGCGCACUCAAAAGGAGGUGAGGGCUCAAAGGCGCACUUAAAAGGAGGUAGGGUUAGAAAACGCACUACCAAAGGGAUGAGGGCUCAAAGGCUCGCUCAAAAUGGAGGUGAGGGCUCAAAGGCGCACUCAAAAGGAGGUGAGGGCUCAAAGGCGCACUCAAAAGGAGUUGAGGGCUAAAAGGCGCACUCAAAAUGGAGGUGAGGGCUCAAAGGCGCACUCAAAAGGAGGUAGGGUUAGCAAACGCACUACCAAAGGGAUGAGGGCUCAAAGGCGCGCUCAAAAUAGAGGUGAGGGUUACAUAUUGUGAUCUUGACCUUUGGGAAGGGUUUGAUGUCAUCAUACAUCUUUGUCCUUCACCCUUUAUCUCAAGAGUUACCAAUUUUGCCCGACACUUUCCUUAGAACAGGAAUCAUGGAGUCAGUCCUACCAUGUGUUUUUGAUUGCCCCCCAGCUUGAUCAUGCCCCCCAAGUGUUCAACUUGGGUUUAGUUUGGGGUGAGGAUAUGUGAAAGUAAAUUUGGGUUUUUUGUACAAUGAAAUGUUUUCAUGCAAAAUUUUUGGAACUUCCAAGUUAUUCCAAUCACAAAAAUGAUUUUGAUAUUAGUUCAAAAUAAACUUGUUCUAAAAAAUUCAAGUGAUUCCUAUGGACAGGUUUCUUGAAGUGAUGAAAGCUUUUUUUGCUUUUGGUUGAAGAUGAAGGUGACAUCUGGUUGGUCAUAAAAGGUUUAAAUGUCAAUUUGAGGGUUAUUGAGAACCGAAUUGAUUCAAAGCAUUUAUUUUAUUUGCAUGAAUAAUGAUUUGACUCGCACGAGAAAGCACUGCCUACCUAUCCAGAUUGCUUGCCUUUGAUCAGAAAGGGCUUUAUCAGGUAUGUAAUGUAGGCUUUGGCUAUUGAUUAUGAAGAAAAUGGAUAUGUUGCAGGCUCAAAAGGAGUUUAAGGGAUUUCAAGACUAGAGAUCACUUGUGCUUGUUUCCUGACCUUUUGUCUUUUGGAAUUGUUUGUUUUUCAAAAUGAUUUAUCCUGCCCCCCAGUGUCGGGUUUGGGCUUUUCUCUUUGUUUUCUUCGUUUUUGUUUGGUUGAGCACAAUCAUAUCAGUUGUUUUAUGAGAAGCUCAAAUCUUUUAGAUCCUUUAGAUCUUCUUCUUUUCUUUUCUUAACCAAUCACUGCUUCAUUUAGAUGAUAAUGAAAGAUUAAAAAUUACAUGAUCAAUCCAGCACCCAUCUUCACUGCUUUGUCUGGAUGGGUAAAAACUCUAUUAUUUUGCCCCCCAGUGUGGGGUGUGAUCCUAGUCAAGGUUAUUUCCAAAAAACAUUACUAGGCUCAAAAUGGGACUGCAACGGAUAUUUUUUAGCCUUGUGAAAGGAUUAUCAAAGAUGGCCUUUCCUCAUCUCAAACUCAUGCAUUGAGGAUCGAUAGGUCUUGCUUUCAUGCGCGUAUGCCAAAUGAUUUAUUCAGUCAAAUAAAACUCAGCUUUUGAGUCACCUCAUAGUGUUGUUUAUCUUUGUUGUCUUUUUUCUUUCAAGUUUUCUAGGUAUAUGUGUACCUAUUUAAGGAAUCACUUGAAUUUUCAAAAUGCAUUUGUUUUGGACAAAUAUCAACACGAUUUUUGUUUUUUUUUUUACUCACUUUGGAGGUCCCAAAAAAAUAUUCUUGAAAACAUAUGAGAUUAAUGUAUGGGUUUGGAAGAAAAAAGGAAUACCAAAGGAUUUUUCAUGUUGUAGUGUUGUGAGCAAAGUUGCGCUCAAAAUGUUAUUUACAUGUAAUAACAACAAAGAAGAGUGUGAUGUGAACACAAGAAAACACAUGAUCUUAUUUCACAAGAAAACUCAUUAACAGAGAAAGUCUUGUUCAAAAGCAUUAACAAAAGGCAAUAACAAGGCAGGCUUCAUUCCUCUAUUUUGGCGAAUUUGUUCAUCGGCUAACCUCCUCUCAAAAGCUCUGCAUAGAGGACUCAAAGACAAUGUAGAACAAACACCACGGUCCAAAGUUGAGUUCCACAAAAUUCAAGCUAUCAUGCUGGACCAUUGAUGCUUCCCAAUUCCCCAAACAUUCCAUUCUAAUCUGCUUCAAGCAUGAUUAGGCAACGGGUUUGUAUUCACAUUGGGGGCAUCUUUCAAUUCUAUCCACCCAGCCUUGAUUAAUUGCAGAAGCUUUCUCUUGAAGGCGUUGCAGGUAUAGAUGCUAUGCCCAGUAAUACGAGCAUGGUAUUCACAAUUGAGUUCUGGCUUGUACCAAUUACGAUAAGGUGGCUGCAGAGGUGUUGGAGGUUCUGGAGCUAUUUGCCCAAUGCUUAAUAGCUUUUGAUACAUCUCAUUCAGAGGUAAUGAUAGUGGAGGUAGUUGUUCUUAAACCCUUUGGAAAUUUCUAAUUUGGCUUUUGCCUUGAAAGUUUUGGGGUUCAGGUUUUUUGAUGUUGGCAAUUUGGAAUGGAGUAUGGUAAUUUUGGGAUGUAUUUGUUUUACCCAUGUAGCCAUCUUCAACAUGGUGAACCUCUUUUCUUUCGACGCCUCUUUUCUCGGUUGGUGCAGCAAUUCUACCACUCUUGACACCUUGCUCUAUGCGUUCACACACUAUCACAGCAUCAGUGAAUUGUUGGGCUGAACUACCCAUCAUAUGUUCGUAAUAUGGUGCUUUGAGUGUGUUGGCAAAUAAAGAGACCAUCUCUUUGUCCAGAAGUGGGGGAUGUACUUGAGCAGCUAAUUCUCGCCAUCUUUGAGCAUAUUCCCUUAUGCUUUCUUUAUCCUUUUUUCUAUAUUGGACAAACUGGUUCUGUCGGGCGCAAUGUCCAUGUUGUACUUGUAUUGCUUGACGAAAGCAUCCACAAGAUUUUUCCAGUUGCGAAUUUUUGUGUUAUCCAAUCUCAUGUACCAACUCAAAGUUGCCCCACUUAAACUGUCUUGGAAAAAGUGCAUUAGUAGUUUUUCAUCAUGUACUACCUCAGCCAUUUUAUUGCAGUAGGACCUGAGAUGAGUCAUGGGGCAUUGUGUUCCACUGUAUUUGAUGAAUUCAGGAACACGAAAUUUCUUUGGGACAACCACAUUUGGGACCAAACACAUCUCUGCUGCCCGUACCGGGUCAUAUAAGUCUAUCCCUUCAAUGGCUUUAAGUCUGGCUUCCAACGCCUCUAUCUUAGCUUGAUCAAUGCUAUCAGAUGACUUAGCCUUGUGGGACUCAUUAGCAGAUGCCUUCACGACUGUUGGGGAUGGUGCAGGUGUCGUUGACUGCACAAAUGUUGGAUUUUGCUGAGGUUCUUGACCAUGUUCGCUCAUUCUUUCCUCAGGCUGAACUGUAGUAGGAGCCGGAGCAAAGGUGAUCGGUUGAUUAGAAGGACCUUCAUCAGAGGUAUUUCUUAGUGUUUGCUUGAGUAAGCUAGUGAGGUGAGCCACACUUAUUUUCAGAGAUUCCAACUCGUCGUGCAAAUAGGCCUCACGUUGAGCACGCUCUUCAUCUUCCAUGUUUCUUGCUCGAAGUCGGGUGUUGUAGACUUUUUGGGGACCUAUAUUUCAAUCUGCCAUGUAUGCAUGUUAAAUGUAUGAACAUGUAAUUUAUGUGAUGCACUUGCCCUUCAAGGGGUGACAUGGUUUUAUUAUUAUUAUUAUUAUUAUUUUUUGUAUGACAUGUUCUGUAAAGAAAGAUAGCGCAUACAAACUAAAGACAGGGUCUAUUCAUGAAUAGGUUUUCUACCUGGUCUCAAAAGGGUCUCAUAUCUGCCCAGUGACGUCCUUCGUAAAGGCAGUAUGGGGGCGUUGCAAAGAACAGUUAAGGCACGUAUGCCCACCAUUACCAAGCAGGCUCUCAGAUAUGAGUUGGGUGUUUCACGCAUCUGAACCCGACCAAUAGUCAAGGGCAGAUCGUUAAUUCCCCACUUAACUUAGAAGCUUGUGUGUGCUUGAAAAAUAUAAAGCAUGUGAUGCAUGAGGCAGUUUUAUACAAUGCAUGAACAAAUAUGUACAAAAAUUAAAGCGCGUAAGAAAUAAAUAAAGAAAAUGCAUAUUUAAAAAUAAACACGCAAACCACAACAAAAAACACAAUAAAUCAGACAACAACAAAGCUUAGUCCACAAGGUCCCCAGUGGAGUCGCCAUUCUGUCGCACGUGUGCGGCGGCGCGGCGAUCGUCCACCCUCAAGGAAAAAUCGGAAUAUUUAUUCCUUGAAAAUAGGGAGAGACAAGGAAUUCUUGUCUCUACAAGUGAAAAUAUGGACUGGGAGUCGCCACCUAGUAUUCGGGUUACUAGGAACCUUAACUGGUCUUUAGAGAUCGGGUACGGAGACUGGUUGCGUAAAGGGAAGGUAUUAGCACCCCAACUACGCCCUACCUAAGGUAGGCUGCAUUGUUUUAAUGUCUGAUAAAAUCUAAGGUCGUGUUUGUGGUUUUUUUUUUUGUUCGGAAUACGCAUUACAUGUAAUGUCAUACCCCAGGUCUGAUUGUAAAAAAAUGAAACAUCCGGAAUUUAAAUAUCUGGAAUAUGUAUUACGUAUAAUGUCAUAUCCCGGAUAUUAAAAAAAAUAAAUAAAUAAAUAAAAUUUUUAUUGUUUUUGAAAUUUUGGCCAAUGUUCUCUUGACUUUAAUAAACUGGUUAUUAAAGCCAAAAUGCAUGCUAAAAUAUUGUUUUUUUGACAUAUGAAAAAUACGAUAUGAUUUUGUAGAUUUGAGACACUUGGCCGUAUGCACAAAAACAUUUUUUUCUCUUUUUUUCAAUUUUUUUUUAUUUUUGGAAGUUUUUGCCGAAAACCAGGUAUUUUAAUAUCAGAUUUUUGUAUUUUUAACAACAUAAAAAAAAUACCACCAAAUAUUAAUCAAAAUGACAUAAAAAUUACACGGAAAAAUUAUAAAAUGCUGAAACAAAUAUUUUUGAUUUUUUUCUUUGAAAUGGGCCGGAUUAGGCCCAAAUAUAUGGGCUGGGCUGAACCUGGCCCAAAGCAUGGGCUGGUUACUGUGCACAUGCACAGUAACCGUGAAUUAAUUAGCGAGUUACUGUGCACAUCACAGUAACUCGCUAAUUAAUCUGCAUGCAGAACAAAAAAAACGACGGGAAAGGCUACCUGCGGUGGUGAUGUUGGACUCUCUUCUCUGCUUCUUCUUCUUCUGCUUUCUUCUCUCUGUCUCUCCCUUCUCUUCUCUUCUCCUCUUUUUUUUUUUUUUUUUUCGAUCCUCCCCUGUUUUUAUAGGCAAAAACAGGGGAGACGUCAUGGUGGUGGCCGCCGCCCCCUCCACUAUCGAUCCAUGGAUAAAAAGGAGGCGGCAAGUGGGUGAUUGCGGGCGUCUUAUUGUGCCAAAUCCGGGUGAAAGAAGUUAGGCAAAAAGGGAGAAGAAAAAUCUUCUUCUUCCCCUGCCUCGCGCGUCCAGGGGAAGAAGAAGAGCUACAGUGCCGUCAAAACGGCACCGUUUUGGGCUUCUGUUUUUUUUUUUUUUUUUUGCAACAGUGAAUGAAACGGCAUCGUUUCAUUUAAAUGGAUUUGGCGCCAAAACACGUUAGAUUCAAAUUUCGGCCCUCCAUUUGCGCGCGUUUUACAAUUUAGUCCUUGGUCUCGGAUUUCUUCAAUUCAGUCCCUAAUUGACCAUUAAACCUCAAUAUUUAUGCAAUUAAGCCCCUGAUUUGACCAAAUUAACUUCCAAAAAUUAUAAUUUGACCCUAGAAAAUUAAUUUCUCCUAAUUAAAGCCCAAAUUAACUCCAAAAUCAAUUUUUCUUGCAAUUAAAAUCUUCAUAAAUGCAAUUAAACCUUUAAUAGAAUUUAAUUGAGUCCAUAAACUUCUGAUUUUGCAUUUUUCUUUCACAAAUUGAAUUUUCUUUAUCAUCGGGGUUCUUAUCAGUCAAUGAUAUACUGUCAAAAAAUAAUUUUUAUAUUUUUGAAAAUCCUUAAACAAUUUUUUUGAGCAUUUUUAGGGCGCUUUGGCAUUUUUUCACUGUUUUAUUUUUUGAUAAUAUAUUUUUUUUAAUUUUUUAUGUAGGGACCCAGAAAUGGGUUACAACAAUAACAACAACGAUAAUAACAAUGAUAAUAAUGAUAGUGAUUGUGAUCAUGAUAAUAAUAUUAAUAAUAAUGAUGACGAUAAUAAUGAUAAUGAUAUUACUUAUCAAUAAUGAUAGUAAUAGUGAUCAUUAUAAUAAUACUACUAAUAAUAAUGACGAUAAUAAUGAUGAUGAUAUUACUUCUUAAUAAUAAUAGUGAUAGUGAUCAUGAUAAUGAUAGUUGUAAUAAUAAUAAUAAUAAUAAUAAUAAUAGCAAUAAUGAUAAUAAUAAAUAUCGUAGGGGUCACGAUGUUGUCUGGCGAUGGCAGAGAGUCCGUGCCUCCUGUGUGAGAGGUGUGUUGUGUGUUGGGAAGUGUUUUUGGAUUAUGAUUAAUUUUUAGGAGUCACCACCUAGUAUUGUGAUCACUAGGAACCUAUGGUCUGUGAGAGUCUGAGUAAGGGACUGGUUGUGCAAGGGAAAAACGCAUUACCCCCAGUGCACCCUACCUAAGGUAAGCUGCAUUGUUGUUUGAUUGCUUUUUGUUGGUCUUUAUAAGGCUUAAGGUAGAUCUCUCUUCAUGAGAGAGUCUCUACUUUAUUGGGUUAAAUCCUAACCGUUCUAAAAUCUGAAUUUUAGCAUCAUAUUUAUUUACACCUUGUAUCUUUAAUACCUGAAGGUGUACUUUAUCGUGUAAUUUUACCCCACACAAAUAUUAAAGUCUACAUCUAGACCCUAAAAAAAAGAUUGGAGAUGGUUUUUUGACAUUUUAGCCAAAUCCUAAUGGAUAAUCAUAAACUAGUUACGAUAUCCAUUUUUUAUUUUUUUUAAAACAUGAAAGAGAUGCAAUUUUUUUUUUUUUUAUUUUUUAUGAAAAAUAUGCUUAAAAAAAAUUUUAGGAUUUGACUGUAUGCAAUAAAAUAUAUUUUUUCUUUUUGAAAAUGUUUUGAAUUUUUUUUUGAAAUAUUUCGGAGAAAAACCAGGUAUUUUAAUACCGGAUUUGUAUUUUACAAUGUAAAUAUACAACCCGAUAUUAUGCAAAAUGGAUAGAAAAAUAUUUGAGAAAAUCACAAAUUUUUAAAAUGAUUUUUGAAUUUUUUUGGGAUUUUUUUUAAAAGGGGGCUGGGCCAGAACUGGCCCGGCCCAAAGCCAUGUUAGUUAUUCUGCCGCUGCAUGCAGAAAUGAAUUCUGUUCUGGCCCAACCCAAAGCCAUGUUAAUUAUUCUGCCGCUGCAUAUUGAAAUGAAUUAUGCAUGUAGCGACUGCGAUAAAGGAGGAGGCAACGCGGGGAGGAGAAGCUAUUGUCACUGGCUUGGCGUGAAGAUGGCAGUGGCGCUGGUGGAAGAAAUGGUGGCGGGGUUGGCUGCUUGUGGCAGAGGAAGAAAGAAGAAGAAACAUAAGAAGAAAAUAUGCAGAGGGAGAGGGAAGACCUCGCGGUGACUGCUCUACCACUGGUGAACCGUUUGUUGGUACAAAAGCAAGGUUUAUGUGGUGCAGAUAAUGGUGGAGAAGAUGGUGGUGGCUCUGGUUAGUGGCUAGAACGGCGAGGAGAGAGAGACUGCAGAAAUGGGGCAGUGGGGGGCUGUUUUUUUGCCAAAUUUGGACUCGAUUUUCUCCUUCCUCAGAUCAUCAACGGAAGCCUCUAUUUAGAGACGGUGGAAGAGGGUAAUCUCGUCUUCACCGAGAUAAAAUUUUAGCCCUCGAUUAUCUUGGAAAGGAUCCUAACCGUUGGUUCAAAGUAGCCUUCUCGAGUUGUCAAAUCUGCAGGAAAAGGCUGCAUGAGUUGACCUCUCUAAUCAGGUCAUUCAUUCUGAACAAUUCACAUGGGGUUGUAGAGGAAUUGCAGGGGAUCCGUUUUGUGCAAGUUUGGUUCAAUUUGAUGGAGAAAUCAAGUAUUAACUGCACCUGCAAAGUAGGCUCCCACACUGUUUCUUUCGGAUAAAACGGGGAAGAUAAUGAACAGUGAUCAAACAAUGCGUCGUCUGGUCCCUUCUCUCUCUCUCUCUCUCUCUCUUUUCUUUAAGUAAAACGACGUCGUUUUGGACUGAAAUGGGGAUUUUUAUUGAAUUUCAAUUUAGUCCUCUGGCUUUCAAUUUGUUUUAAUUGAACUCCUAAUUGACCCUAAAUGUUUGAUUUAAUGCAAUUAAGCCCCCGAUGAACUUCAAUUGCAACCCCGUAUUUACACGCCUUUUGCAAUAUGGUCAUUGGUUUCGGAUUUUGUCAAUUUAACCCCUAAUUGACCAUUACAUUUUUAAUUUCUUCAAUUUAGCCCCCAAUUUUUGUCAAUUAAGUCCCUAAAGUGUGGCGCCUGUUGCAAUAUGGUCCUUAGUCUAAGAUUUUAUCAAUUUAACCCCUAAUUGACCCCAAAACUUCAAUUUUCUUGCAAUUUUGCCCUUGAUUUCAGUCAAUCAACUUGGUAAAAAUUAAAUUUGAUCUUUUAAAAUUUCAAUCUUCUCAAUUAAGCCCAAAUUAAACUCCCAAACUUAAGUUUUCACCAAUUAAGCCUCAAAUAAAAUUAAUUUGACCAAUUUAAAGUAUAAUUAAGUCCUUGUACUUAAUUAAAUUCUUCAAUUGGACCCAAAUUAAUUCUUAAACAUAAUUAAAAUUUAAUUUGGCCCAUGAUUAAAUCAAAUUGGCCUAUUAAAAUUUAAUUAUGUUCUUGGUCUUAAUUUUUCACUAAUUAAGCCCUAAAUAAAAUUAAUUUGACCCAUUUAAAGUAUAAUUAGGUCCUUACACUUAAUUAAAUCCUUUAAUUGAAUCAAAAUUAAUUCUCAAACAUAAUUAAAAUUCAAUUUUGCCCAUGAUUAAAUCAAAUUGGCCUAUUAAAAAUUUAAUUAUGCCAUUGGACUUAAUUUUUAUGCAAAUUCGUCUAAUAAUAAUUUAAUUUGACCUUAAAUUUGCAUUUUUUUUUCUCCAUUUUUGGGUAUAAUGGGGUACAAUUAAGCCUUGAAUUUCCUCCAAAAAAUUGCAACUUGAUUCCCCGGGCUACUUUCUCCAUAUUGCCAGUCUUUAUUUUAUUUUUUAAUUUUUAUUUUGAAUUUUUUUUUUAUUUUUAGGGAAUAAUCUAGAAUUAGGUUAUGACAAUAAAGAUGAUAAUAGUAACAAUGAUAGUAAUAAUUUAUCAUUCGAUGUUAGAUUAGCUGGGGAUUGAGUUUCACCAUUUUUUCAUGUACGAUAUUUUCAGUCUAAUAACAGGAGUUGGGAGUUUAAAAAGCUUAUGAGACCCAACACCCUCUUUUAUUUUUUGCCUUAUUGGUUUUCUUCAUAAUUUUAUCAUUCAACAUUGGUGUUUUUAAAUAAAAAAAUGAUCAUCUAGGUUUCCUUUGAAAUUAUUAAAUAAAUCAAUUCACAUCAAGUUAACUAUUAUAUAGUUUAGGUGUUGAGCCUGACAUCUUAGCAGACUCAUAAGUGCUUGGGUUUAGCGCGUAGCCGAGUCCAAUAGGGUUAGGUCUAACACUUAACUAGAUCUCCUAGCACUUGGUUUUAAUACGUAGUUAAGUCCAAUAUAAUUGGGUCUAAUAUCUUAAUAGACUCAUUAGUGCUUGAACUCAAUGCGCAACCAAGCUCUAUAGAGUAUUUGGAUUUGGAGGUGUAGGUUAAGGCCUUUCAAGAAAAAGGAAUUUGUGUAAAAUAUGUUAGUAGAACAUAUAAUAAAAACAAAAAAGGACAAUGUCAUCCUACUAUGAGCGAGUCAGAGUAAAGGUUAGUAUGAAAAUAGAAAAAAAGAUGAAGAUAUAAUUAAACUUAAAUAAAUGGAUAUAAAAUGAAAUAACCAUAUUUUGUAGGGGUUUAAAAACAUGUUGGGGGUGGGGGGCUCCGCCUGCACAGAUAAUUAAAGUAAGAGUCUAAGUGGGUGAUGGAUGCAAGGACCGUUGGAAUAAUAUUCUAUACAUUCAUAAUUGAUGGUUCAUUUAGGAAAUAUAUCAUCUAUCAUCGUUUGUAACUAGUCUAUUUACUCGUGUAAUGUUUUGGUUCAUAUAAAAAACUAGCUAUUUCUUAAAAAAUUAAAAUUAGCUAGAAGAAAAUUUUGUAUUGUAAACAAAACAGUUAAUGUAUAUUUAAUUAAAUAAAUUGGUAAUACUACUAAAUAAAAUUCACAAGUUGGAUUAUAUAACUCUAAUUUGAUUUACAAACGAAUUUAUAUUGGCUUUUUUUUAACGACUCUCUUUGGCUAUUUGCUAGUUUUUGAAUAAUGGAGAGAUGGUAGAGAUUUUUUAAUCUAAAAUUUUAUUUUUAAAUAUAUUUCACCUAAAAAUACAUUAUAAAUAUUUUUAUAAUGUUAAUGAAUUAAUUUUAAAUUGAUCUAAAAAACAAAAUCAAACUAGAAAAAAAUUCUUUUUCAACCCAACCUACUUCUCCAGACUCCAUAAAAGCGUAAAAACACAAUAAGACGUGUUGACAACUAAUAUUUUUCCUUUUUCUUUACCGUUCAUCCAUGAGUUUCUCUCCUCACUCAAAUUCACGUAUUGAAAAAAGUUCAAAAUAAAUUCUUGAACCAAAACUAAGCCUGAAAAAGUUAAAGGGUCCAAUCCAAAAAAAUAAAGGGAAAUAGGUGGGCUGCAAAAAUGCUGCUUUUGAGACCGACGACGUGGUUUUCACAUGAUUUACUGCAAGUUUUCAUGGCAACGUGUUUAUAAUCGUUUUUUAAAUAAUUUUUUAUAUUAAAAUAUAUGUUAAUAAUAUUUUUUUAAUAAAAAAAAAAUUAUUUUAAACAUUAAUAUAUUAAAAUGUUUUAAAAACAUUAAAAAUAUAUUAAUUUAAAAUUAAUAAAAAAUUAAAAAUAUUUUUAAAACAUAAAAAUAAAAAUAAAAGGAUAUAUAAUUUUAAUCAAUGGUGCGGUCUAGUCAGGGUUCAACUACCAUAUAAAAUACACAGCUGGAAAUCACUUUACACUAUUCUAACUCUAUCGCCAAAGCAUCUCACAUACUUUUGCAUCAACUUGGCAUUAAAAUAUUCUUAAUAUUACCAGCUUACUAAGGAUCAGCUGAGGUGCAUGUUUCACUCUUACCUGCUGCUGUAUUAAUGGUAGAAAUUAUAUCAUGGUGUUCUUGGUCUGCAAAUUAAUCACUGUCUUUUACACGACAACACAGAGGUAUUUGUCGUCACUGAGGGUAUAAAUAUCAUUUUAUAUAUCAAUCUUAAUUAAAAAAAACACACACAGUAACAACAAAAGAAUCUAUGGUUAUAUCAGAACAAAUAUGAAGGUAAGCUUUCUCUCCCAAGCCAUUCCUCCAUGCCAAACGUACUUGAAAUUGGACGAUGGUGUCAUGUUUACGAGGGACAGAUGAAAAGCUAUAGAAAAGGAAAAUCACAACAAUAUAUGCAAAAGCUUACUCAAGCGCUUUGUUCUUCUCACUUUAUGUAUUUUUGAAAGCGACAACUGAAUCUAUAUCUGCCUAAAACCCUAACAUUUUCAUCUCUUCAACUUUCAAUCUUAAAUCUUCUUCGGAGGGUGUCUUGCCACCAUCCUUCAAGGUUGCACGCCACCAUGCCAUUAGCUCACCCUGCAGAAUACAGGAGCCAGGCUUAACCGCCACUUUCAAGAGUAAAAAAAUGAGAGCAACAUAUGAGUAGGAUCACUUUCUUUCUCAGGUACAAGGAUAACUCAAAUUGUCUUCAUGAAGAGACUCCACCAAGCAAAUGCAGAUUCAGUCAUAUAAAUCAUCAAUGAAGGAGACUUCAAUGCAACAUGAAUCAAGAUUUGGAGUGUAAAAUAGGGAAUAUAGAAGAAAGAUCAUAAGACCAUAUUCUGAUGAGUAGUGAUCCUUGAAUGAGAAAAGGGCUACUUGACCGAGGCCAACUAAUCGUGCAUUCAAAACAUACAAACAUGAUUCAACAGGGGAAAAAAGGCUGUAAAUAGCCAGAUUAAUUAUAUGUAGUCCAUGAAUAAAGAUAUCAAGCUCGCAGAUUCAGCUGGAAAUUUAUACAUCUAAGAUUGAAAUUUAAAUUGCUAGAUUAUAUAGAACAUGAAUUCGUUUUCAGAGUCGGGCUUUUACCUCGGUGAAAUCGUGGUUGGAGAUGUAUUGACUCUUAACUAAACAUUUGACGCCACCUACAAUUACAGCAAUAGAAUUUUUGAACUUUUGUUUUGAACUCUGACUUUGAACUCCUGUAUGAUCAAAAGAAAGAACAGGGGAAAAAGGGGAGGGGGUGAGUCGUCAACAGAAACGGAAGCUAAUUAAUGACAACCAUGCAACUCGUCCAUCUAUCAUAGAUAGGAGACAUGGUAAACAAUUUUGGCUUACCAGUAAUGCAGGCUACAUAAUACCCAGUUCCACCCAAUCCCUGUUCCCACUUCCCAAGCCGCAAGCGCAGGAAAAAGCCAUCAAGAUGUGAUGGUGGUGUAUGCGAAUUCAUCCAUCUGGUGCCAAUGCAUGCAACAUAGAAAAUAUCAAUAAAAGGAUAAAAACUUUUACGACAAUAAUUUCUAGAAAAGAAAAAUUCAAGCUUUGAUGAAUGUUACAGAUAAAACCAAGGUUAUUCCCUGAAAGUAGUUUUGAGUUUUAGUUCAUAUUGGUGUUGAUAAGUAGGACUAUCAAGGGAGAGAAUCAUAAAUGAGAAAGCAGGACUAGAUUUAUAAUUAUCUUGUAAUUGAGUUUUUCUAGAAUGACCAGCGAUUGCCUUCAAUUGCAGUGUAGCUGAUGUAAUAGUGCAGUUAUCAUAAAAAAGCCACAAACACAUUAUUACAUAUUUGCUUCUCUAUGUUCAAAUUUUGCAUGGAGGUAUGCCAAAAGAAGACAGGAGACCCAAAAAGAGCUACUAAAAUUUACCCCCCAUUGAUAUUGACGAUGAAGUACAUUAAUUACAGCCGUAAGAUAGAUAUGCAGAGAGCUAUCCGAGCUAUCCUUGGAAUUAAUUUUCCUAGAAGGUCACUCAGAUUUCACUUCGAGUUCAAAAAAUUUCGAAGUUAUGGAGAAGAAGAAAAAAGGUCAUCCUUCAGUGGUCCUGAACACUACAGACAGAUUACAGUUUGAUCUGCAUCAGAAGGUAACACGGUUAUCCAAAUGCCAUCUUCUUGCCAGAAGGGUAGACUCUCUACCAUAAAACCAUGUUGCAGAAACAAGCUUGUAAGAUAUGCAAAAGACAAAUGGAAAAGAACUGACUUCGAGGUGGGAGGCAAAUGCCAAAAUCACGAGCCAAAGUAUAUGAGGAUAAAGUAACAGAAGAUGAUUUGAAUGAAUAAGCAUGGACAUACCAAUAUUAAGCCAGAUGUUCAAGCCAAUGCAUUUCAAAAUUAGCAGCUCACGAAUUUUCUGGUUCAAAUUUGUCAUCCUCGGUUCAUAUUUAGGAAAAUGAGGCUUUAAUGUCCUUACCAGAAGUUUAUUAGAUUUUCUAUGCAAUCAAAAAACUUGCCACCUUGGACUUGGUUUAUCUAGUAGAGAAAAUAAAUGUUAGCAAUCAAUGACAAAGAAUAACAAUGCAGCAGCCAGAACGUUUAAGGGGUGAAUCUCUUACGUAACCAGUCACAUACUAUAGUAUCUAUGUUGACCAGUUAGGGUUUCUAAUGACCAUAAUACUAGGUGGCGACUCUUUAAAUAAGAAUAUUCUCCAUCAAAGAAUAGGAUGCUAGAAAUCCAUUCUUCCCAAAGAUUUAAUAAUUUUUAAAGCCUCUGCGAUGUCGUGUGCGACAAAUAUUAUUUGAAAUAAAAAAAACUUGUUAGGGAGUGCGUAAUAAGCGCCAACAUUUGGACAACUCCUGUGGGAUUGUCCGACCAUGAAACACUACCUUUUGAGGUGGCGUUUAGAAGGUCUCGGCACCUCCUACAUGAUGGGGUGGCGCAUGGCCUAGAAGUGCCUUUAGUUUGUUGUCAAUGACUUUUUUUUUCUUGUUGUUUUUUUCUCCUCUCCUCAUAUUAAACACCAUCCCAUUCAAAAAUUCAGAUUAACUCCUUGAAUUUCUUUUUCCUUUACAUUUGGUCUAUGUAUUUUUUACUAUAUUUGUUUUUAUCAUAUAUAAGCCAUUAAAUUACAAAUAUUUUUCAAUCCCCCCUAUUUUUAUUUUUUAAUCUUUAAAAUUUGAUCCUUAUUUUUUAUAUUGUUGUUUUUUAUUUUCAAUCAUCUAUAAAAUUAUUAUUUUUUCAAUUUCACCCUUUUUUAUUUUUUUUCUUUUAAAUUUGGUUAUCAUUCUUUUGAUUGCUAUUUAUUUUUGUUUGGGAUCAUUUUUUAGUUUUUUUUUUACAAUUUCAUCAUCCAUGAUUUUUUUUUCUUAUCAAAUUUACUCUUUAAUUUUUCUAUUGCUAUCUUUUAUCAUUUGAUGAAUUUUUUCAACUCAUAUUGUUUUUACAAUUUCAUCAUUCAAAAUUAAAUUGGUUGAUAAUUGAGCUUCUUGAUUGAACAUGUUUUAAGGAUUUCAUGGAUUGUGAGUUUUAGAUAUGAGACCGGGUUUAGAAGGUUUGCCGGAGUUUAUUUGUUUUUAUUUUUUCAUUUUUUUCAAACAUAAUGGUUUUUAUUCUGCACCCUAUUUUUAGAGUUUUGCUUUAUUAUUAUUUUUAUGUUUUGUCUUUCAUGGAAUUAGUCUCAUGUCUAUGACUAUAGUAACUAGUUUAAGAAGUUGACAUGAGUUAACUUUUGAUUUUUUAGGUUUUUUUAAAAUUGAUUUAUUUCAAUUUCAUCAUUUAACAUCUAACUCAUUUUAAAUUAGUCUUCCUAUAUAUUUUUUACUGGGUUAUAUCAAUCUAAUGCUCAUGGUCGCGGGGUUGGCAAGUUGACUCAGGUUGAUUCAUUUUUUUUGUUGCUACAAGGUUGGUCUAGGUCCAUGACCAAAAUCACUGGUUUCAAAGGUGAACGUGAAUUGACUUUUUUAUUAUCCUUUUUAAAAUUGAUUUACUUCAAUUCCACCCUUCAAUAUAUGAUUUGCUGGAAAUUGAUCUUUGUACUUUUUUUUUGUUUCCUUUAUGUUGGAUUAUCCUUGAUCUUGUGUCCAUGGUUGCGGGUUUUGAAGGUUAAUCCAAAUCAACUCAUAUUUUUUCCAUUGCUUUUUUAAAUUAAAUUAAAUUUUGUUUUUGUUUUUGUCAUUUAACAUCGAGUUGUUCGAUAAUCGAGCUUCAUGUAUUUAUUAUUGACUUUCAAACCUUUUCUCUUAUGUUUAUUUUGAUGAGAUUGUUCUCACCUUAUAUUCAUGAUCGUUAAGUUAGCGAGUUAACUUAAUUUAAUUGAUUUUUUUUAUUUUAUACUAUAACAUUGAGUUGUUUCAAAAUCCAAGUAGACUUGGAGUGGAUUUUUUUAACUUUUUUUUAAUUCUUGUAUGUUUUUUUGUUAUUAUAAUUUUUUUUUUAAUAUUAUUUUUUUACAUUGAAAAAAGUUUUAUUCGACCCGCAUAGUUUCUCACUAUUUUUUCCCAAUUCACCUCAACAAAACAUUUAUUUACCGUGCGUGCUUCGAUGACUCUCAAUCCAAUGGCUCACCCUCCACAAAAAGUUUUAUUAAAGAGAACAAUCACGUCAAUUCUCUCUCCACCAUUUACAUAGCCCACUUCCCCAAAUUCACUUUUCACUUUAAAACUACAUCAUUCACCGUAGAUAAUGUCCAAUCCAACGGCAAACUUUAAAUCAUUCCCCUCCUGCGGAUAUCAAUUCGCGUCCGCCUCAAGUCAAUCUCCACCUAUUGCAGCUCCUCUGGUCUCAUAAAUGAGGUAAGGAUAUUGAUUGCGUAAAAAAAAAGUUAUUAACACUUUAAAUACACUCUUUAAGAUAGGUUGUAUUGUUUUAAUAUCCAAUAAAAUUUAAGGUAUAAUUGUGGUUUUUAAUAGUUGAUUCUAUCUGUCUAAGAUUUAAGAAAAUCACUUCUUUGUAAUGAUGUUUUUAUCUUAAUGGGAUAAAACACAACCGUUCUAGCGUUUAAAAAAAAAAUUAAUAUCCAAAAUACGUAUUACGUGUAAUGUCGUAUCUUAGAUAUUAAAAGUCAAACAAAAUAAAUUUUUUAUUGUUUUUAAAAAUUUUAGUCAAUGUUCUCUUGACUUUAAUAAACUGGUUAUUAAAGCCAAAAUGCAUGCUAAAACAUUGUUUUUUGGUGUAUGAAAAAUACAAUGUGAUUUUUUAGCUUAGGAACAAUUGACUGUAUGCACAAAAACAUUUUUUAAAAUACUUUUUUGCAUUUUGAAAGUUUUUAUGAGAACCGUGUAUUUUAAUACCGGAUUUGUAUUUUUACAGUAUAAAAAUACAAAUCAAUAUUCAGUAAAAAUUAGUAGAAAAAUACAUGGAAAAAUUACAAUUUAAAAAACAAGAAAUUUUUACUUUUUACUCUUUUUUUUGUCGGACCCUGCUAUUUGGGUUAGGCUGGGCCCAACCAUUCAGGUUGGCCCGAAAUUGGUCCAGCCAUGAAUAGUGGAGAUUGGUAGCGAAGGAGAAGAAGGAAGAAGAGAAGACUGACUUGUGGUGGCAUCGAGGCGGUGUUGCUGGCGGUGGUGGUUGCAACGGCGCUACUAGUGAUGGCUGGGGGCGGCGGUGGGCGGCGAUGUUGCUCCUUCUCCCUCUUCUGUUUUGUCCUCUCUUUUUUUCUUUCUUUUCCUUUCCUUUUCUCUCUUCUCUCUUCGUUGUUCUCUCUUUCGGUCUUCCCCCCUCUCUUCUUCAUGUUUUUUUUCCUUUCUGUUCUUCUUUUUUGCUCUCUCUUCCCCUGUUUUUUAAAAGAGGACAGUUGUCACCCCUCUACUGCCCCUCCAACACGUGGAAAGUUGUGGGCAAGUUGGGGUGGUGUCGGUGUCUUUUUGAAAAGGAGUCGGCAUCUUUUUGAAGAGAGAGAUGGCGGUGACAGAGGAAGAAAAGUUUUCUUUUUCUCUUGCUUCGCGCAUCUAGGGGAAGAAGAAAACCCACAGUGUCGUUCAAAAGGGCACCGUUUGGAUCUUUUUUUUUAAAUAGUGCAUGAAACGGCGUCGUUUUGGGCAAAACGCGCCGUUUCAUUUAAAUAAAAACGACGACAAACUUAUGGGAAAGUACAAAUCAGUCCUCGAUUUAUGAUUUGUUCAAUCGAGUCCUCAAUUGCAAUUGUGAUUUUAAAAAUUAAUUCAAUUGCAUCCUUACCAAAUUCAAUUGCCGGCCUUAAAGGUGGUUGCCUUUUCCAAAUCGGUUCUUGGUCUUGAAUUUAUGCAAUUUGACCCUCAAUUGAGCAAUAAACUUUUAAUUUCUUCAAUUUGGCCCCUGGUUUGGUUUAAUUACAACUACUCUAUUUACGUGUGUUUUUUAUUUUGGUCUUUGGUUUUAGAUUUCUUCAACUAAGCCCCUAAUUGACCAUCAAACUUUAAUAUUUAUGCAAUUAAGCCCCUUAUUUGACCAAAUUAACUCUAAAAAAUUAUAAAUUGACCUCGAAACUUUAAUUUCUUCCAAUUAAAACCCAAAUUAACUCCAAAAUCACUUUUCCUUGCAAUCAAACCCUUCAUAAAUUCAAUUAAACCGUCAAUAAAAUUUAAUUGAGUCCAUAAAAUUUGAUUUUAGACUUUUAUUUCUCAAAUUGAAUUUUCUUUUCAACAAGGCUCUUAUCGGUCAACAAAAUACUGUCAAAUUUUAAUAUUUGUAUUUUUGAACCUUCUCAACCAAUUUUAAACCAUGUUUUGAGUGUUAUGCCAUCCUUUUUUUAUUGUUAUAUUUUUUUAUAAUAUUUGUUUUUUUAUUUUUUUGUAUUUUAUUUUAUUUUUUUAAGAGAGAAAAAUAUAAAUAGGAGAAAAACUCAACAAUAGGUUAUGACACGGUAAUCAAUCAAUUAAUCAUAAAACAGCUUAUAUACUAAUCAAAUGACACGUCGUUUCAUACUGUAAUGUUAUUUUUGGGAUUUUGAUGUCUGCAGAUGGUCAAGGAGGCGAUUGUGGCUUUGAAGGGAAGGAGUGGAUCGAGCCAGAUUGCAAUUGCUAAGUUCAUCGAAGAGAAGCACAAGUCCAACCUCCCCACCAAUUUCAAGAAACUGAUGCUUGUUCAAUUGAAGAAACUUGUUGCUAAUGGCAAGCUAGUUAAGGUCAAGAACUCCUUCAAGCUCCCUCCUAAAUCUUCCGCUAAGGAUGCUGCUUCUGUGAAGAAAGCGGCUCCAGCGAAGCCCAAGGCCGAGGCUAAGCCUAAGCCGGAAAAGGCUGCGAAGGCAGAGGCUGUAAAGUCUCCAGCGAAGAAAGCUGUUGUUGCGGCUAAAAAUAAGACUCUGGCGAAAAAGGCUUGAAGAAACCCAAGAGUAUUAAGUCGCAAUAAAGAGGGUGUUUGGCAUUAUUGCGGUGGAAAAAUGCUUUUCAAAAAAUUUGAAUUUUUUUUUUUUACUAGGAAUGAAUAUGUUUUUGAUAUUUUCAAAUUAUUUUGAUGUGUUGAUUUCAAAAAUAAUUUUUAAAAAAUAAAAUAAUAUUAUUGAUAUAUUUUUUUGAGUGAAAAGCACAUUCCCAAACACGCUGAACCACAUUCCCAACCACGCUGAAGACCGAGAAGUGAAAGCUGUUUGUGUGGAUAAAAUGACUUGUAAAUUGAGGGUUAUUUGGGUAUAGAAUUGCUUGAUUUUUUUAGGAGAAAUAAUUUCAAUGUAAUUCAACUUAUAUUUGAAAGCAAAUUGUUUGUUUUAGUGAAUAUUUGGUAUUGGCGUGGUUAAUAUUUUUUGAAAAUGUUUUUUUAUUUAAAAAUAUAUAUUUAAAAUUUUUAACAUCAUUACUACCCGAAAUUAGAAAACCAAAUAAAUAUACUUUUAGAAUUUAUAUAAACAUAGGUUAAAUUUCAUGAAAAGAGUAAAAUAAUUCAAAGUUAAUAGCAUAGCAUUAUUUAUCAAAUAAAUAUUAGAAAAUAAUAUAAAUCAUAUUCUAAGAAUUUACCUAAUAAAUUAAACUAUUGGUUGAGAUGAUUUUUUGACAUAAUAUUAGAGUCUUGAUGACUAACCGGUCACGAGUUUGAAUCUUAUCAUCUCUAUUUAUUUAAUAAAAAUUAAAUAUAAAGUAAUGUAAAUAUACACAAGUUUUAACUUCAAAUGAAGAAAGAUGUUUUUAUUUGACAAGAAAUGAAUUCAUGAACAUGUCGGUGAUUGCAAUAAAGUGUUUGAGCUCCAAUUGAGCAGCGGGCCUGGAAGGAUCCAUGACGAUGUCAUUCCAAAAAGAGCCCGGCUCGAAAAUGGGGCUUGGGUCUGUGUAAAGCUCGUAGAUGGAUUCUGCUUCAGCCCUCAAAUUGCUUGCAUUUGUCAAGCAUUUGUACCCCUCUGGAUCAACCAGGAGCUUGUUGUCCCCAUCUUUCCAUGCUAUCAGCUGCAUUCAUUUUGUGCCAAUCAAAAAGUCAGUGUAUAAGAAAAAUGCAGUCCCUACUUGUCUUUUGAAUCGAUACCAGUACGGAAAUCUACAGGCAAGAAUUAAGAUAACUGCUGCUAGUUCUGAGCUACGAGGUAUGGAAGGUGGGGCUAAUUUCCGUACAUAAUGCAGCGUGUUCGAGGUCCAUUUCUUGUCGAGGCCUCGAGAUACAGAAUAGUGCAUCCAGUAGACCACAAUCUAGGAUUCCAAGCUCAAACUUACCAGUUUUCUUAGAACUGACAAGUGGGUGAUGGGUGAUUUCGACACUUGGCAUGUCAAUCGAUAGAUAGUGACUCAAAUAGCAUGGUGGCCCGACAAAAAUUCAAGGGUGGUUGGCAGACUCUCUUUCCUAAUCGAUGUGUCGUUUCAGAGGUGCCACGUUCAUGAAAUUUGAGGCGUUGUGCAUUUGUGUGUGCCAGUCACUACGAGAAAGAAGAGAAGAAGCACGGGAUGCAUGGCGGAUAAACCUGAUGGAAAAGUCGUACUUACAGUAGGCGGUGCUCCGACUGAAUUGGUGCAAUAAAGCCUGGCAUUAUCAACAAGUUGGCAGUAUCUUUCAAAUGCGCUGGCAAAUCUCUUGUGGGACUUUAACCGGGAAUGCACCCUCACUGCCCCUCUCGUCGUUAUGGCUCUCCUGUUCAAAAUCCCAGAAAAAAAUACCCUCUUUCAUUACUACCAUGUACCGUACGACAAUCAACGAGAAUGAUGUUGAUUACUACACAGCUAGUUUUAUCAUGUUUCGAUUGUUACCUGAUGCCUCUAACAACAGCUAGAUAAGGGUCACAGACAACUCCAACCAGCUCUAUUCUGUAUGGUUUCCUGCCAGUUACUUCUCCUUUCUUGUUGUUUGAUCGCUGGUCUUCUUCCUGUUGCCCUACCAUUUCCCAGUAAUUUUGAUCAACGGUCCCAUCCUCAGCUACCGGGUACCCUUGCCCCUUUCGAUAACGAUAUAUGUGCACAUUACGAGCCAUGGCAAUUGUCUGCUCCACAAAAGGCUCCCAUGAAAGGGUGCCAUACAUGAUUACAUCCCGUCCUUCAUUCAGUGCAGUUACCAGGAGUGAUGCAUUCGUUGAUGAUUGGUAGAUGACAUCCGACUCUUCGAAUGCAUCAGCCUCUAGGUCCCCUACCAAAACCGCCUUUGCCUUUGCUCCUGACCAGAACGUUCUGCCCAAUUAUUUAUUGAUCAGUGUCCCAUCAAAUCACAAUCACAAGGCAUGCACUCUUUUCCACAGCAAAAUUCAAUCAUCUUUAAUACUCUUUGAGAAUGAAAGUUAUUUUUAAUGUUUACGAGGUAAAAUUUGAUAAAUCCAUACUCUUUGAGAAUGUCUAUGGUGACAGUGGUCUUGCCAGCCCCCAUACCACCACCCAUAAGUAGCAGCACCGGACUUCUCUCACUGAAUGCCCCCGGCACCAUGACCUCCGUACAAGGUGAUUCCCCCCGGCCGAUUGCUUUCAUUUCCUCAACUAGAGUAGAAAAUGCCCUUGUAACCUUCAAGUCCUCGGUCACCCUCUCAAAACAUUGUUUUCUGCCAAAACCCACAAAAAUUAAAACCAUGACGAUAAUAUAAAGUAUCCAUUCGUUUCCUCAAACCAUAAAGUUUGGUGUGGUAUAAAUGAAAAACCACGGCACCUCUGGCCCUUCAUAAAAGAGAAAGAUGAGGUCAAGUGGAAGUGGGUGAAUUGAAAAAUAAAAAAAAAUGAGGCCAAGUAAUAUGAUAUUACAAGUCAUUGUUAUCAAACCCUUUGAGCUUUGGUUUCCUCACGGAUUCAACAUCCAUAACCUGCCAUCCAUACAGAAAAUUAGAGUAAAGAGCAUAAGACAACAAAAACAAAAAACAGAAAAUAAAAGGUACUGUUCCUUUUCUUUUUAUUGUUUGGUUCUGAAAAUUGAUGAUAAACCUGACUGAUAAACAGAGAUGCUCUGCUCCAAUGAAAUGCGAAAUAAGUGAGGAUGCAUUUUUCAAAUUCCCCCAUCAGCUUCAUGUACAGAUAAGAUCGAAACUCAGGUAUACAGGCAAAAAAGUCGUAGAUGUUUUUCUCACACCCUUCAGAUCUUUUCAGAUAAUCAUAAGCCAGUUUGCAUAGCCGUGGACACUCAUCUGCAUCUGCAUAUCCCAUCUGCCUAGCUACAAAGACCAGUAAAAUGAAAAAUGGGUAAAAUUUCUUCUUUCUUGACUCUUGAGAAAAAAACAUUAUUUGUCAAGAAAAAGUAAUACAACUGAAACAGUUUAUAGUUACUUAAAUUAAUUUACCAACAUAAUCGGAGAAUCUUUCAAGAUUUUCCAAACAGCCAUAUUCUGCCCUGAAUAAGCCUGGAAUGAUGUGCUGGUCUCUUUUAGCUUUUGAUUUUCUCCAAUAGUCGAGAGUCGCAGCGGCACUGAUGAAAACCACUAAGGAAGCGGCAAGAACUCCUGUCAAUUUGGCAUGGCGGUUAUUAUUAUCUAAAUGAAAGGAAGGAACUGUCGUCAAAGCUUAUUUUCUUACUAGAAAACGAUCAGACAGAGAGAUUACGCAGAGAAAGAAAAAAGAAGGCUUACUUGACGGCAUCUUGUUGAAGCUUGGAGGAGGCCUCACUGCAGAUUUGAAAUAGUUUGCCGGGCUUUAGAUGAUAUUAACGAUUACAGAUGCCUGUCACUUGUGGGUCUUUGUAAGUAAAGGAUGAUGGAUAAAUUUUUAUAUGCUUAUCGAUUCCCACAUGACAAACAAAAAAGAACAUUUCUUUGAUUUGAUGCACAUCCUUUCACGUUUUGUUAAUUAAAUCAAAAGCUAAAGUAUAUUGUAAUUUUUUUUCCCCUAAGAAUUCUUGGCUCCUAAGAAUAGGAUGGUGUUUUUUUUUAAAAAAAAAAAAAGUUAAAAGCUGACAUGGAAGCAUGUUAGGCUCUUUCGGAUAGUGAGUACGAUUGCAUACGGUGGAAAAAAAUUUUGAUUCUAUCAUAUCAUUAAAUUUAUCUUGUCCUCAUCUUCAUUUAUGUGAGAUGCGUGUGCUCGUCAGAUUUAUGAUGAGUCACCGACAUCUUUUUUUUCCUUUCUCUUUUUUUCUAGAAAAUUGUGUCUAGCCUAUCAUAUUUUCAUAUUAGUCCUUCAAGUUUAUUUUCUUUUGAGUUUUUCCUUGAUUUUUUAAUAACUAUUUGUUUUAUUUUGAUUCAUUUCUCAAAUUUUCUUUUUUCUUUUUUGCAAUUGCAUCCUCCUUUAAUUGUUUUGUCUAUUAUAUUUGAUCUUUAUUCUUUUGAUUUUUUUUUUUUUUUUUACUUUUAUUUUGUUGAUCUAUUUGUUGUUGGUGUUUCAAAAUCCACCCUUUUAAUUUUGAUUUUUAAUUUUAGUAAUUUUCUCUUUUGUUGGAGUUUUAUUUGUUUUCAAUUUAAUUCUUUAAUUCUAAUUUGUAUAUAUAAUAUUUUUUUAUUUGGUCCUUUUGCUUUUGAUUUUUUUUUCCUUGGCUUUUUUGUCAAGAUAUUUAUAGCUUUUUAUUUUAUCUUUCAAAUCAAGAUUAUGAUUUUUUUUCAAUAAUAAUAAUAAUAAUUUCAAUUUGAUCUUUCUUCUUUUGAUUUCUUAUUUGUUUCCUUUAUCCUAAAAUUUUUAUGAUUUUUAAUGUAUCCUUUAAAUCAAGCUUAUGAUGUUUGUUAUAGUAGUAAUAAUAGUAGUAGUGGUAAUAGUAAUACUAAUAGUGAUAAUUACAAUAAUUGUAAUAAAAAUAAUGAUAGUAAUAAUAAUAAUAAUGAUACUAAUAAUACUGUUAAUAGUGAUAAUAAUGUUAAUAAUAAUGGUAAUAAUAGUAGUUUAUUAUGAUAAUAAUAGUAGUUUAUUAUGAUAAUAAUAGUGGUGAUGAUGAUAAUAAUUGUGAUAGUACGACGACGACGACGAUAACUAAAAUAAUAAUGUUAUUAAUAGUAAUAGUAAUGUUGAAACCAAUAAUAAUAAUAGUGAUAAUAAUUGUAAUAAUAAUAGUAGUUUUUUUAUGAUAAUAAUAGUGGCAAUGAGAGUAAUAUUGUGAUAAUAACAAUAUUAAUAUUACUAAUAGUAAUUGUAAUGGUAAUAGUAAUAGCAGAAGGAAUAACAAUAAGAAAUGAUAACAUUAGUAGGAUAUUAUUAACAAUAAUGAUAAUAACAUCACAACCUCCAAUAAUAAUAAUAUAAGUAGUAAUACUACUACUAAUAUAAUAAUAAUAAUAAUAGUUUAUUAUGAUAGUUGUGAUGGUUAUGAUAUCAAUAAUUGUGGUAAUUAAAGUAAUAAUAGUAACAAUUGUAAUAAUAAUAUCAAUAACUCAAAAUAAUAAUAAUGUUAUCAAUGAUAAUUUGAAUUAUAAUACUAAUAAUAAAUAACAACAACAACAACAAACAACAACAAUGCUAGUAAUAAUAGUAAUAGUAGUAACAACAACGAUAAUAACAACGAUAAUAAUGAUAGUGAUAGUGAUCAUGAUAAUAAUACUAAUAAUAAUGAUGACGAUAAUAAUGAUAAUGAUAUUACUUAUCAAUAAUGAUAGUAAUAGUGAUCAUGAUAAUAAUGCUAAUAAUAAUGAUGACGAUAAUAAUGAUGAUAAUAUUACUUAUUAAUAAUAAUAGUGAUAGAGAUCAUGAUAAUGACAGUUGUAAUAAUAAUAAUAUAAUAAUAAUAGCAAUAGCAAUAAUGAUAAUGAUAAAGAUGAUAAUAGUAAUAAUUCAUCAUUUGAUAUUAGAUUUGCUGGGGAUUGAGUUUCGCUGUUUUUUCAUGUACGAUAUUUUCAGUCUAAUAACAGGAGUUAAGAGUUUAAAAAGCUUAUGUGACCCGACACCCUCUUUUAUUUUUUGCCUUAUUGGUUUUCUUCAUAAUUUUAUCAUUCAAUAUUGGUGUUUUUAAUUAAAAAAAGAUCAUCUAGUUUUCCUUUUAUAUUAUUAAAUAAACCAAUUCACAUCAAGUUAACUAUUAUAUAGUUUGGGUGUUGGGCCUGACAUCUUAACAUACUCAUAAGUGCAUGGGUUUAGUGCUUACCCGAGUCCAAUAGGGUUAGGUUUAACACCUCACUAAAUCUCCGAGCACUUGGUUUUAACGCGUAGUCAAGCCUAAUAUAAUUGAGUCUAAUAUCUUAAUAGAUUCACUAGUGCUUGAAGUCAAUGCGCAACCGAGCUCUAUAGAGUAUUUGGAGGUCUAGGUUAAGGCCUUUCAAGAAAAAGAAAUUUGUGUAAAAUAUGUUGGUACAACAUAUAGUAAAAACAAAAAAGGAUAAUGUCAUCCUACUAGGAGCGAGUCAGAGUAAGGAUCAGUAUGAAAAUAGAAAAAUGAAGAUAUAAUUAAACUUAAAUAAAUAGGUAUAAAAUGAAAUAACCAUAUUUUGUAGGGGUUUAAAAUCAUAUUGGGGGAGGGGGGCUCCGCCUGCACAAAUAAUUAAAGUAAGAGCCUAAGUGGGUGAUAGAUGCCAUGAUCGUUGGAAUAAUAUUCUAUACAUUGAUAAUUGAUGGUUCAUUUAGGAAAGAUAUCAUCUAUCUUCGUUUGUAAGUAGCCUAUUUACCCGUGCAAUGUUUCGGUUCGUACAAAAAUCUAGCUAUUUCUUAAAAAAAAAAAAUCAGCUAGAAGAAAAUUUUGUAUUGUAAACAAAACAAUUAAUGUAUAUUUAAUUAAAUAAAUUGGUAACACUAGUAAAUAAAAUUCACAGGUUGGAUUAUAUAACUCUAGUUUGAUUUACAAACAAAUUUAGGUUGGCUUUUUUUUUUUAAGAGAAAAAUAAAAGUAUAUGACUCUCUUUGUCUAUUUGCUAGUUUUUGAAUAAUGAAGAGAUGGUAGAAAUUUUUUAAUCUAAAAAUUCAUUUUAAAAUAAAUUUCACCUAAAAAUACAUUAUAAAUAAUUCUAUAAUGUUAAUGAAUUAAUUUUUAAUUCAAAACACCUCUAAAUCAAUCUAAAAAUCAAAAUUAAACUAAAAACAAAAUUCUUUUUCAACCCAACCUACUUCUCCAGACCCCAUAAAAGCUUAAAAACACAAUAAGACAUGAUGACAACUAAUAUUUUUCCUUUUUCUUUACCGUUCAUCGAUGAGUUUCUCUCCUCACUCAAAUUCAUGUAUUGAAAAAAGUUCAAAAUAAAUUCUUGAACCAAAUCUAAGACUAAAAAAAGUUAAAGGGUCCAAUCCAAAAAAAUAAAGUAAAAUAGGUGGGCUGAAAAAAAGCUGCUUUUAAGACCGACGACGUGGUUUUCACAUGAUUUACGUUGUGGGUGCAGGGCUCCGUCCUGCUUUAUAUUAAAAGCAUAUAUAAUUUUAAUCAAUAAUAAUGGUGCGGUCGAGUCAGGGUUCAAUUACCAUAUAAAAUACACAGCUGGAAAUCACUUUACACUAUUCUAACUCUAUCGCCAAAGCAUCUCACAUACUUUUGCAUCAACUUGGCAUUAAAAUAUUCUUAAUAUUAACAGCUGACUAAGGAUCAGCUGAGGUGCAUGUUUCACUUUUACCUGCUGCUGUAUUAAUGGUAGAAAUUAUCUCAUGAUGUUCUUGGUCUGCAAAUCACUGUCUUUUACACGACAACCGCAGAGGUAUUUGUCGUCACUGAGGGUAUAAAUAUCAUUUUAUAUAUCAAUCUUAAUUAAAAAAACACACACAGUAACAAUUAAAGAAUCUAUGGUUAUAUCAGCACAAAUAUCAAGGUAAGCUUUCUCUCCCUAGCCAUUCCUCCAUGCCAAACGUUCUUGAAACUGGACGAUGGUGUCAUGUUUACGAGGGACAGAUGAAAAGCUAUAGAAAGCGCUUUGUUCUUCUCACUUUAUGUAUUUUUUGCAAGCGACAUCUGAAUCUGUAUCUGCCUAAAACCGAAACAUUUUCAUCUCUUCAACUUUCAAUCUUAAUUCUUCUUCGGAGGGUGUCUUGCCACCAUCCUUCAAGGUUGCACACCACCAUGCCAUUAGCUCACCCUGCAGAAUACAGGAGUCAGGCUUAACCGCCACUUUCAAGAGUAAAAAAAUGAGAGCAACAUAUGAGUAGGAUCACUUUCUUUCUCAGGUACAAGGAUAACUCAAAUUGUCUUCAUGAAGAGACUCCACCAAGCAAAUGCAGAUUCAGUCAUAUAAAUCAUCAAUGAAGGAGACUUCAAUGCAACAUGAAUCAAGAUUUGGUGUGUAAAAUAGGCAAUAUAGAAGAAAGAUCAUAAGACCAUAUUCUGAUGAGUCGUGAUCCUUGAAUGAGAAAAGGGCUACUUGACCGAGGCCAACUAAUCGUGCAUUCAAAACAUACAAACAUGAUUCAACAAGGGAAAAAAGGCUGUAAAUAGCCAGAUUAAUUAUAUGCAGUCCAUGAAUAAAGAUAUCAAGCUCGCAGAUUCAGCUGGAAAUCUAUAGAUCAAAGAUUGAAAUUUAAAUUGCUAGAUUAUAUAAAACAUGAAUUCGUUUUCAGAGUCGGGCUUUUACCUCGGUGAAAUCGUGGUUGGAGAUAUAUUGACUCUUAACUAAACAUUUGACGCCACCUACAAUUACAGCAAUAGAAUUUUUGAACUUUUGUUUUGAACUCUGACUUUGAACUCCUGUAUGAUCAAAAGAAAGAACAGGGGAAAAAGGGGAGGGGGUGAGUCGUCAACAGAAACGGAAGCUAAUUAAUGACAACUAUGCAACUCGUCCAUCUAUCAUAGAUAGGAGACAGGGUAAACAAUUUUGGCUUACCAGUAAUGCAGGCUACAUAAUACCCAGUUCCACCCAAUCCCUGUUCCCACUUCCCAAGCCGCAAGCGCAGGAAAAAGCCAUCAAGAUGUGAUGGUGGUGUAUGCGAAUUCAUCCAUCUGGUGCCAAUGCAUGCAACAUAGAAAAUAUCAAUAAAAGGAUAAAAACUUUUACGACAAUAAUUUCUAGAAAAGAAAAAUUCAAGCUUUGAUGAAUGUUACAGAUAAAACCAAGGUUAUUCCUUGAAAGUAGUUUUGAGUUUUAGUUCAUAUUGGUGUUGAUAAGCAGGACUAUCAAGGCAGAAAAUCAUAAAUGAGAAAGCAGGACUAGAUUUAUAAUUAUCUUGUAAUUGAGUUUUUCUAGAAUGACCAGCGAUUGCCUUCAAUUGCAGUGUAGCUGAUGUAAUAGUGCAGUUAUCAUAAAAAAGCCACAAACACAUUAUCACAUAUUUGAUCCUCUUUGUUCAAAUUUUGCAUGGAGGUAUGCCAACAGAAGAUGAAAAAAGAGCAACUAAAAUUUACCCCCCAUUGAUAUUGACCAUGAAGUACAUUAAUUAGAGCCCUAAGAUAGGUAUGCAGAGAGCUAUCCGAGCAAUUCAAACUAUGAAAAACAGUACUGUGGUAGAAUAACUGACGAUUUAUGCAGGCUGGUACUCUCAUUCUAUGUCCUGCAAUCCUUCCUUUUCUUCUGACACUCUCUCUUCUUCAGCCACAAUCAUUUCUAUUUUUUCUUCCUUAUGCUUCACCAAUGCAAUAUCUAAUACAUUUAAGUUAUUGGUUCUGAUCCUGGACCUUCUUGCAUAAGUUGUAAAAUACAUUAUCACAUAUUUGAUCCUCUUUGUUCAAAUUUUGCAUGGAGGUAUGCCAACAGAAGAUGAAAAAAGAGCAACUAAAAUUUAUCCCCCAUUGAUAUUGACCAUGAAGUACAUUAAUUAGAGCCAUAAGAUAGGUAUGCAGAGAGCUAUCCGAGCAAUUCAAACUAUGAAAAACAGUACUGUGGUAGAAUAACUGACGAUUUAUGCAGGCUGGUACUCUCAUUCUAUGUCCUGCAAUCCUUCCUUUUCUUCUGACACUCUCUCUUCUUCAGCCACAAUCAUUUCUAUUUUUUCUUCCUCAUGCUUCACCAAUGCAAUAUCUAAUACAUUUAAGUUAUUGGUUCUGAUCCUGGACCUUCUUGCAUAAGUUGUAAAAUAUGUCACCUCAUUAUACUUCUAUCAUAGGAUUCUCAAAGUCACUAUCCUGAGCUCCUCACCACAUGUUUCCUUGGAAUUAAUUUUCCUAGAAGGUCACUCAGAUUUCACUUCAAGUUCAAAAAAUUUCAAAGUUAUGGAGAAGAAAAAAGGUCAUCCUUCAGUGGUCCUGAACACUACAGACAGAUUACAAUUUGAUCUGCAUCAGAAGGUAACACGGUUAUCCAAAUGCCAUCUUCUUGCCACAAGGCCAGACUCUCUACCAUAAAACCAUGUUGCAGAAACAAGCUUGUAAGAUAUGUAAAAGAAAAAUCGAAAUGCCAAAAUCACGAGCCAAAGUAAUAUGAGGAUAAAGUAACAGAAGAUGAUUUGAUAGAAUAAGCAUGGACAGACCAAUAUUAAGCCAGAUGUUCAAGCCAAUGCAUUUCAAAAUUAGCAGCUCACGAAUUUUCUGGUUCAAAUCUGUCAUCCUCGGUUCAUAUUUAGUAAAAUGAGGCUUUAAUGUCCUUACCAGAAAUUUAUUAGAUUUUCUAUGCAAUCAAACAAAUUCCCACCUUGGACUUGGUUUAUCUAGUUAAGAAAAUAAAUCAGAUGAUGGAAACUGGAAGCAUGUCUUCCCAACUCACAGUAAACAAGAUGCCCUGAUGAACAAACACUGCCUAUUACAGGUAUAAACAAGCCACACUUCAGAUUAAACUAAACAAAAGCUCAACCAUAUGGUUGAAAACAACCUGCAAUUUAUCUGUCUGUAUAUGAUGUCUCAAACAAUUAGAGGGGUGCAGAUAUCCGAGUGCUAAAUUGCAUGGCAGUUUAUAGGAAAGAUCUCCAAAAAAAAAAAAAAAACAGUGAAGAUGACAGUUUAGUUGGAAUGAUCUACUUACUUGAGAAUAAUUGUUCGAGAUAAACGAAGCCUUUUUACUGCAUCAAAAAUUCCCUUUGGUACGUCCGAUAUCUGGCUAUUGAUAAAAUUGCUCAAAGGCAUGACCUGGUUUUCUUUCAACUUCUUUUCCCCAGAACUUGAAGCAGUGUCUCUCUCAAGCAGUUUCAUAUUCAUAUUCAUUUUCCCAGAGGCAGAAGCUUCAUGCAAUUUCCCAUUGCGAACUGAAGGUGCAUCAGCAGCUUGCAAUUGACUAUCCUUGCCAUCUGACCGCUUUGCAUCGUCUUCAUUUCUUGGAUUGAGCAGAAUUUUACAAGGGCUGGAUUCAUGGACCGGAGAAGCGCCAUAUUCUGCUUGAUGUCUUGUUCUUGAA